rnacentral:lncRNA from 1 species
UUUUUUUUUUUUUGUCAAAGGUACCCCUGCUUUCCUCAGUGCAAACUCCUCAUUGUAAGAUUUUCUGAAUAAAAUUUUAAAAAAAAAAAGAUUUGAACACUCUUUCUCACCUCAUACACAUUCCUUUAAUUUCAUAGUUAUUUCGAAGUAGACGUUUAUUUUAAAUUUGUAAAGCAGUUUUAAGAAUCAAACAUGUUAAUUUAACGAUAUUUCUCUUUUCAAUGUUAGAAGUAUUCAGAUCUUUACUGAUUAAAAAAAUAUGAGUAGUACUUAAUGCAUGUGACAAAAUCCAAAACUAUUUGAUUAGUGAUGGAAUUCCCAUGUGACAAACCAAGCCAAAUAAGUGCUCAAAGCCUCAAACCACAAAUUAUAAGUUAUAAUUUGUUCCAAAAAGUUUAAGGAAUAUUAGUUGUUCUCACCACUAGUGUUAGGAUAUACCCAUAAUCUCGAGCUGAAAACACUUACGCAGGGCAUACCCACAAUAUUCUUAAUGAAGAACAUGGAAAAUAACAAUGUAAUCAAAAUUAUAAUUGCUCCAGUUACUCCUUAAUCUAGGUUGCACUUGUAGUUGCUCCCUCUUCCAGACUCAUUCCCUUAAAACCUAUCAAACUGGUUUAUGAACACUCCUAGGAUCCACACCAAAAAGAUUAGACUUAGGCUUCUGCGUCUUCGUGUUGUACACAUACGAGUUUUCUUCCUUAAAACAAUAGAAACUGAACUCAUCACCAUCAACACUCGCUGGAAUGAUCAAACCUUGACCUUCAGGAAGAGGCAGAAAUUUCUCCAUAAAUUUAUGUUCAUGUUGUACUAUAAAAAUUGUAUGCAUUUCGUACCUUUAAAUUUUGGUAAAAUUGAGACCGCGAUUAUGAUCGGGCAUAAAGAAAAUUUGAGAGGAAGAGAGUAACUCGUUUAAAAAUGAGACAAGGAGAUACGAACAGAUGGAGAAAGAGCGGCAAGUCUAAGAGUGAGCGAGGAUUAGAACAAUGAAAGAAUAAAUAAGAGUCAAAAAGAGGAGUUCUAAGGGCAAUUUUGUAAUUUCAUUCAACACGCAAAUUACAUUUUUGGUCAUAUGGUUUGACUCAUUUUCCACUUCAGUUUGUGUUAUUUCAAUUUUAGUAAAUUUACUCUAGUUUCAAUUUCAAUAAUGUUUUUUUUUAUUUUUUAUAAAACGAUAUAUUUACACUAAAGGGUAAGAAAAUAAAUUUGUAUCAAACUUGAUAUUUACCAAAUUAAGAUAUUUUACUAUUGUAAUAAUAAGUGACUAGUAGUAAUCAAGUUUAAAUCAUAUGCUCUGUUGCAAAUGGUGGAUUGCUCUGUUAGUUAAAGCAUUCCUCUUUAACCCAUUGCGGCGGCCCCCGGGACAAAAUUAUAUAUUAUAUGCAACAACUGGAUAACUAAAAGGUUCAAAUUCAAUUAACAUAACAACAUUCUUAAAGAAGAACAUCAUCUAGAAAUUAACAUAACAACAUUCUUAACGAAGAGCAUAGAAAAAUAACACUGUAAUUGAAAUGCUCCCAGUUACUCCUCAAUCUUAGCUGCACUUGUAGUUGCUUCCUCUUCCAGCCUCAUUCCCUUAAAGCCCAUCAAGCUUGGCCUAUGAGCAGUCCAACGAUCCACACCAGAGUAUAAAUACUUAGCCUUCUGCAUCUUCGUGUUGUACACAAAAGACUGUUCUCCCUGAAAACAAUAGAAACUGAAGUCAUCACCUUCAACAUUCACCGGAAUGAUCACAUCUCGACCUUCCUGAAGAGGUGGAAGUAUUUUCUCCAUAAACUUCAACGGAACAACGAUCUUUUUCGGGCUCCAUUUGUUCUCCUUGGAGUCUUCACACACCAAGGCAUGAAGGGUGGCAUUUACUAUCUCAACCACAGCCAUAUGCUUGUUCCAAUUGAUGACGCAAACUUUGUUUAAAUCGGGAAAAACUCCCUGAGGUAGGGUUGCUGUUAAGACAGACUCAUCCACCAGAUCAAGGCGUUGGACUUCUAAUAUUGACAGAUCUUGGCCAUCUCUUUUCAUAAACUCAGCAGAAUAACAAACCCUACCAUUCAUCUUUUCAGCUGCAAAAAAAUUACAUCUCACUACCCUUCUGCCUUGUUCCUUGAGCAAACCCUGAUUUGGGUGCGUCCAGGGUCUCCACUUUUCAUCUUUCCCAAUGGUCAUAAUUUGAAACCCUAAUUCAUUGUUCUCGACAUAUAAAGUUACCACUUUGAUCUCACCAGUCGAUAAAUUGAAAGCAGAUGACAUUCUUCUCGCACCCUUAUGAGCUUCAGGCAAGUUGAGUACUCGGCGGGUUGCCGGAUUUCUGAUGCGGCAAAGGUGAGUAGUAAUAUGCUUCUCCAGAAACAUCCCAGCAACACGUCCCAUGCCCUCGUAAUUUGAAUCAAAGUAAGGGGCUACAUGGUUCUUUUCGCUUUUUAGUCGAAACUGUAGAUGGAUAGGACUGACCCGUUUCAUGUGCUUUAAAAUGAAGUUGUAUUCUUCAAUCAAAGAGCACCAUGUUUUGCUGACACACUUGAACCGGAGUAAUGCCUCUACAGGCAACCAGCUCAGAAUCUCAAUAAUGAUUUCAAAGGGAAGCUUUGGUUCUUCUGGUUUGGGGUCCAAUCUCCUCCUCCUCCUCCUACUUCUCAGGUGGUAGCCGUGCGCCAUCUGCAUAUGAGUGUACCACAAUGCUCAUUGUAAAUCGUUAAAAUUGAUAAAUCUUAAAUAUGUACUAAUAGACUCCGAGUAUUUAACUAUUUAUAAAUUGAUCCUAUCUUCCCUCUUUUCUUUUUCUAUCCCUUUGUCAACCCAAUCUUUCUCCUAUAAUCCUCCCUCUAAAGUUUACCUUUUCCAAUCCAAUCAUUUUUUAGUAAUGUGAGAUUUUUAGUUGUUAGUUCGACUGUUUUUGGGUGCUAGGCUUGCUACUUUUGUUUGUAUGAGGUCUUAUACAUGGUGUACACUUGGGCUGUGUUUGGUUGGUGAGGAAAACGACUUGGGAAAGAUAAAUUCUUUUCACAUGUUUUUUAUUUUUUUGAACAAACGAUAUAAUAAAUGUUAGAAUAUAGGGAAAGCAAACUCUUGAGCCUCUAUGUUAAUUUUUUUUUCCAACAUUAAUUAACAUUAAUUAUAAAUAUUAUGACAAAAUUGUCCUCAUUUAAUGUUGAAAGACCAAUUAUACCUACAAUAUCUUCAUAUUCCACUUUCUUUCCUUCAACUUUAUCCCUAUUGAUGUAUAAUAUUUUUUUAUCCCUAUUAAUAUAUAAAAGGCUUUUUAGCUAAAAUAUUCUCUGAGAUUGGUAUAACUUCGCACUUCGGUUUUUGAGAUUUAAAAUUGAUAUAAUUGAGCAUUGAGUUAGUCCACCGUCAAUCAUUUUCGUCAUUCCAAGAAAAAUCUCUGUUAAAUAAUGACCAAAAUUACAAAAAUGCUCUCAUUUUUUUGUCAAAUCAUUUGUCCCAUUAUUUAUUAAAUUGAGAGUAUUUUUAUCAUUCUGGUCACAUAGUUUUUUUACGGAAUAACCAAAAUGAUUGAUAGUGGACAAAUUCAGUGAUCAUUUCUAUUGAUUUUAAAUCUCAGAAACUAAAAUGAAAAGUUAUGUCAAACUAUUUUGACUAAACUACCUAAAUAAAAUAUCAAUAUCUUCUAGCAGAUUUCCCAUUGUUACCCAACAGUGUAAUCGGGAAAGUGCAUUGCUCAUCUUCCUAAGAGGAACACAUAUAAUUAUCUUAUAGUUUAUUAAAUAAAAAAUUUCUUUUGAUACGAAAAAUAAAUAAUCAAUAAAAAAACAAUCCACUGCCCUCACAUCAAAUCGUCAACAAAGUGAAAUUUAAAAUAUUCCUGUUUUUUUUAAGAUUUAUUUCAAGCAGAUAUGGCCAUCAUCAUGCUAAUCUAAUAAUCUAUGCAUUAAAAAAUCAAUGUAGCUAAAAGAAAGUUAAACAAAACAGAAUGUAGCUUAGAUUAAGGAUUUUUUUUAUUCUUUUGAGUUUUCAUACUAGAAAUUUUCCAUAUUAACAAUCAUCAAUAAACCAAAUCUAAAUGAAUAACUCAUUUGACUAUAUAAAAUGAUUUUCGUACCUCUGACUUUUGGCUAAAAUUGAGAUUGAGAUUCUGAUCCGGUGAAAAGAAAAUUCGAGAGUGAGAGAUUUCUGAUCCAGUGAAAAGAAAAUUCAAGAGUGAGAGAGUAACUCGUCUGAAAAUGAGACAAAGAGAUGCACCCCGAAGGAGAGAGAAAAUUCCAACCAGCGGCGGGUCUACGAGUGAGAGAGGAUUAGACCAACGAAAGAAUAAAUAGUAGUCGGAACGAGGACUUCUAGGGAUUUUAAGGGUAAUUCAGUAAUUUCAUUCGACACGCGCAUAUAGUUAAAUUACAUUUUUGAUCCAUAUGGUCUGACUCAUUUUCCACUUUGGUUUGUGUCAUUACAAUUUAUAGAAUUAAUUUUUUUUUUAAAUGCAAUAGUAUAUAUACACUAAAAGGUAAAAGAAUAAAUUAUUAUCAAACUUAUCAUCUACAAAAUUCAAACUUUUCAUUUACAAGUGAAGAGAUAUAUAAUAUCAUUGUAGUACUAAUUAAGCGGCCAAUUGUUAUCAAGUUUAAAUCGUAUAUUCUUUUAAAUUAUAAUGUGAAUUUGUGAAGUCAAACUAACCAUGUCUAUUGUCUAACCAAAGUGUGUCAUGUUGGUAUGAGCUCAAUGUGCCUAGAUUACCCUUGACAUCGUAAGCAGACUGCUAUCUCAACCCUAAUGGACGAAGCAGACAUCAUGUCCCUCGAACAGAGACAUGCGUCUACCCCUCGCAACUCUCUCCGUAUUGCACCUAAGCAUGCAUGAGAAUGCUCCACUGAGUCUCUACCAUGUCAAAGUACUCUCCCGCCUGAUUCCAUGUUCGCCAAGAUUAUCUCUUGCAUGUCUGAGUCCAGGAACGAGUCAAUGACCUCUAGAUAACUCUACCUAGGCCGGUCAUCUGCAAAGGGAUACACCCUCCGCCCAGUAGGAAGACUGCUCCGCCGGUCAACUUGCCUAGUCUUUUUGUUUUUUUCAAUAAACAAUGUUAUUUACACUAAAAGGGUGGAGGAGUGGGGGUUAAGCCUCACAAUGGGCUAUUAUUGAUAUGGUUCAAAUUUACUUUUAGUGAGAAUUGAACCUAGAUAAGACCUCUCACUCAUAAUAAGUUAAAGAUGAAUAUCACUAAACUUUAGUACUAAGUGACAUCAACUUGCCUAGCCUUGCAAUCUGAUGAUUUAUGGACUUCUUCCUCUAUAAAUAGUCGAGUUGCACAAAGAAAGUGAUAUAACGAAAAGUUGAACUCAGAACUAUCUACUACAUUCAAUUUCCCUUAAAUACUUUCUGAGUUAACCAUCCGAGACCCUUUGGCAAAUUGAUCUUACAAUGUUAUUUGUUAUGAAAAAAAUUUUGGUCAAUCCGUCAUGGCAAUAUGCAACCACCAAAUGUGAGGACAUUUUGUAUCUCCAAAACAGUUGCAAUCAUCCCAAGAUUGUAAGCACUCCGUCUAUAUAUUUUGCUUAUUAGAUUUGUACGAUCUUAUUAUUGAUUAAUUGAACAAAAGUAAAGGACUAGAUGGAGAUAAAAGUUUAAAUGGGUCAAAGUAUAAAGCUCGAUAAGGUUUCUUUAUACAGAAGGAAACAUUAUAUUGACAUCAAUAGGAGUGAUCCAAUUCCUUAUAAUUCGUUACAUUUUUAUUUAUUUAUAAAAUUUAAUGUGGGACAAUUCUUUGCAUCCUUGUAAGACUACAUGUAAGUGGUGAUCUAAAUGGUGAUCUAUUAUAGAUUGAACUAUGGAAAUAGUUGCAAUUGCAUCAAGAACAAAUCGACUGAGACAUACAGAAUGCUACAACAAUGUGGAUUAAAUUAUUAUUCGACGAUGAAGGGUGAAUACAAAUUAUUGUCUAAGGGCUUGAAGAAUAAGCCAAAAGGAAUACAAAAAAAGAAUCUUUAUUGAAGUUUUGAACAUCAAAAAACACUUGAUGAAUCAAAACUUCCCUAAUAAAACCAACAAUUCAGACUGCAACCAUAGUAGUUAUUGGUUUCUCUCCUCUUCAUAUCAUAUAUCUUAGAAUCCACUUUCGCUUUGAGACGUUGCAUGAAAGCCUUAUAAUUCAGUAGUUCCUCUAGUCCCCAGUUUUUAUCUGGCGCAGGCAACAACCGCUUGAUCUCUUCCACUUUCUCUCUCUCUUUCGUGCGUUCCAAGUCUUCGUCGCCAUCAUCAUCGCAAUCGUCAUCACUAUCAUCGUCGUCGUCAUCGUCGUCAUCAUCAUCAUGACGUUUAGAUGAAGUUCCUUCACCAAGAAAGCGAUCCAAGACCUUGUUCACAGAGGGGUUUCCAUAGGCGUAGGGCUCGUUGUCCUGUGAUAAGACGACAACAGCCAUCUCGGAACCAGGCUGCCGGAAGCAAAUUCUUCGGCUUCACGAAACAAAGCGUCGUGACGCUCCGAGAAGGUGGACUUUAGGCAGUUCUUGCUGUUUAUCUUCUCCAUGUCGAUCUUCCUGCUUCCGAUGAAUGGAUUGUAGAUGUAUACACGAAACGUUUCUUCUUGAUCUGUAGAAUUUGCUCAAAAGAAUUUUGUGACUUGUGAGUACUCACAAAGGAAGAACUAGGGUCUCUAUAUAUACACGACAGCUUGCCUGUAAUUCAUGAAGAACUAGAGUUUCCUUUUCUUUGGAGUGUCAUAAGUCAGCAAAAUAUGGAAUUGCCAAUUUUUUUUUAUUAAACUGAUUUAUACAAUAAUAUUAUGCUUACCAUUUUUCUUCUUAUUAAUAGAAACAAAUAAUGCUAGGGAGACCAUAUAUUGGUGACACAUCACAUAAUUUGUCAAUUUAAUCUAAAAAAAUGAUGGGUCUUUUGAUAUGGGUCCAAUUUUAUAAGCCUAUUUUGAAUGGAAUCCACUAAUAUUACAUAAGCAUAAGUGGGAGCUAAUAAGUACAACCAUCAUCCAUGUCAGCAAUUAAAAUGCACAUAAUUUACAAACAAAAUUACAACAAUUGCCAUUAAAUGGUUUAUCAGGUCUCUUGCAGAUGAAUUACAACCCAAAUUAAUCUCAUUGUUUAUUCAAAACCUUAUCCUCCUAUCUUUCAAAUUGCUUUGUGUAUCCAACGGAAUCCAAAUUUUGAAUUCUAAAUCCGUAUGAAGAUAUGAAAGCUAUAAAUUUUCUCCCAUUAUAUGAUGAAAACAAAAAAUAAGCGAAUAUUUGAUUCGGGUUUCCUAGUAUACCUGGAGAACAGGUAUAGCAACUUCUUGAAAGAUUUCAGUUUCAUACAUGAUCAUCUGGUUUUCUUUUUCUAAUUUUUUGGUUUGGUGAUUUGGGCUUUGUUUUUUCAGUGUUCGUUACCUGGAUAAUAGGUAUUGCACUCACUCGAUUUCAAUACUAGUAUUUGAUAAUAGGUGCUACCGUAUCUUUGCUCUAAUAUUUUUUUUUCACUUGAAUUGUUCGAGAUUUUAGAGUUUGACGACGGGUAUGAAUUGGUGGCCAGUGUUUACGAUGCGUUAGUGAAGGCUUGUACUAGUUUGAAAUCGAUUAGGGGGCUUAAGAGGGUUUAUAAUUACAUUAUUAGUAAUGGGUUUAAGUUGGAUCAGUAUACGAAAAACAGGGUGCUGCUUAUGCAUGUGAAAUGUGGGAUGAUGAUUGGUUCAAUUUGUUUCUCUAGUUUUUUGGUAUGCUGCUUUGGCUUUUUACCUUUGUCGUAUUUGAUACCUAGAUUACAGGUACUACAGUUCAUCUUUAAUAAUUGGUGUUUUAGUAUUUGGAACUUUAAUAAUUGGUAGUUUAAAUUGAUAUAUAUUUAGGGUUUCAAUGUGGAAAGGAGAGCAUUAUGCAGUGAUCCGUGAUGAUAUCCUCGCACUCUUGAAUGAGGGAGGUGUGAGUCGACAGGUAUUUGUAAUUUUUAUAAUUAUUUGACUUAGAUAGAAACGAAUACAAUUAUAUUUGGAUGAAGGGUUUCCAAAUGAUUCAUAAGAUGUUUUGGUUCUUUCUGUAGGUAGUUGAUUCUUUUUUUGAAAUUUUGAAUGAAGACCAAAUUGGGAUUCCAAAAGAUCAUCUGAAAUCUGGGUUUAUGCCGACAUGUGUGGGUGCGUAAAUUUUAGUUCUUCAAACAUUGCAGUUCAUUUUCCUCCAUUCUAGCUAGUUUAAUACCGUCCAUAACUAAGGAAUUAGAACAACCAAUGCUAUUUAGUGAUGAGUAGUGUAAUUGUCAAAUGUUGAUUUUUAUUAUUUUAUUCUAAUCCAUUUUUAUUAGUAUCUAUGGUAAAUAUAAACUACCUGCCCUUGUAACAUAGUAAUCCAUUUUUAUUCUAAUCUACUAGCAUUAAUCUAGAGAAUCUUCUACCAGCCCUUGUAGAAUAUGAUUUUUACAUCAUAAUUAGUUGUACAUGUAUAUUACUUUUUGGCUACUGUGCGUUUAAUCCGUGUUGGUUUGUAGGAUAUUGUGGAUGAAUCGAAUUCUGCAGUGAAAAUAUAUAUUUAUCUUGAACUUCUAUUGAAAAAUGUGCGGGAGAACGACUAUGUUUUCUUUCCGAUUAACCAUUUCAAAGGAAUGCAUUAUACUUUGCUUGUGUUCAACAAACAAAGUGGAUGGUGGGAACAUUACAACACAUUACAAACCAAGUUGAAUAUGUAUGUGGAUCCUUAUUUCGAAGAGGCUAAAAAAUUGGUAAGUUGAUAACUAUGUAGUAUACCUCUUAUCCUUCAAGUUUUAUUUCACACACUACCUUUGUAAUGUGUUGCUUUUUUUUUUUUUGGUAGCAUGUGAAAAUUUCUGACUACUUUAAGUACAUGAAAGAUAGUAUUUCAAGAAAGCUCAAUGAGAACUCUAUUUGCAAACAUAUUAUGAAAGGUGAUAAGGUAUAGACGUUGUUGUACACGCUUAGCCAUGAUGACAGAGAAUUUCUCAUGUGGCUGAGGCAAACUAAUGUUGAGUAUCCACUGAAAGCAAACAUAUCAUGCUCACAACAAUUUCCUAACAUGUAAGUGUUAAUUUCAUCUGUAUUAUGCCUAUUUGUUGGUUUCUUGGUGAUAGAAUGUAAUAUUUAAAUUCAUACUCUUGUUUUUUUGUUAAACAGUUAUGACUGUGGAGUUGCUGUGAUGUAUAUUGCACAAAAAAAAGCUGAUGGAGAAUUAGUCGAAGGUGUCUUUUCGGUAGAGGCGAUGAAGAAUAUGAGAGCACAUGUCCUUUGCAGAUUCAUAAUCAUAAAUGAGGGAGAUGGUAGCUGGGAAAAGGAAGAGUAGGAUAAAGAUGUUAUGCGAAAUUUGAGUUUUUGUUUCAUUUAAAUGUUUCAAUUUAAUAAAAUGAUGGGACUUCAAUCCAUCUGAAUUCAUUUUCCGCUAGAUAAGUUUGGUUGUUAUGUGAACUAAGAUAUGCUUUGUCAUAUCUGUUUUUUAAUUUGAAUUUCAAUUGAAAGGGGAUAUUCUUCAUGUUUUCCUUUAUUGGUUGCACAAUAAGAUUUGUUUGUAAUCUCAGAUAAUGUUAUUUUGUCAUUAUCUAGACAUAGUUUGUCUGGUGUACUUUCAAAUUGUAUAAGGAUAAGUAGUUUAAAAUAGCUUAAUUUCUAAGCUUAAUUUUGUUAUGAGUUUUGAGUUUAUUUUAAGUUUGAGGCUAUUUUAAGUUUUGAAGAUCUCUAACCAUUCCUUUGUACAUCUAAUCCAUAUUCUACACAGAUAUGUUGGUUAAAAUUUUACGACAUACUUGUUGAUAAAAAAAGGUUGUCGGUAAUUUUCCUACAUGUUAGGUAGUUUAAAACCGUCCCAAAAAGUAAUAUACAUGUACAACUAAUUGUGAAUGUCUACAUAGAUAUGUUGGUUAAAAUUUUACCACAUUCUUGUUGAUAAAAAAUAGUUGUUGGUAAUUUUCCUACAUGUUAGGUAGUUUAAAACCGUCCCAAAAAGUAAUAUACAUGUACAACUAAUUGUGAAUGUAAAAAUCAUAUUCUACAAGGAUAGGUAGUUUAUAUUGUAAGCCAAAUUGAUAGGUAGGAUAAAAUUUAACAACUUAUGGUUGCUUGUUAUAUAUAGGUUUGAUUUGGAAGGUUUAGUAAUGAUAUCAUAAUAAAUAUAGUCUUCACAGAUUGCAUAAGCUGUCACAUCCCAGUCUCGGCUCCGCCGUAGCACGAUAUUGUCCCAUUUGGGCCCCAACCAUGCCCUCACGGUUUUGUUUCUCUCGUCUGAACUCACUUAACUUUGGAGUUCCGAUGGAUCCCGAAGCCAGUGAGUCUCCAAAAAGCCUCGUGCUAUUUGGAGGUGGGCAUGUACAUAUAAGGCACAUCACUCCCUCUCCAUUGGUCGAUGUGGGAUGUUACAAUCCACCCCUCUUAGGGGCCCGACAUCCUUGUCGGCACACUCGCACCACACGGCAUAGUGACUCUAAUACUAUUAUGUCACAUCUCAGUCUCAGCUCCGCCGUAGCACAAUAUUGUCCGCUUUGGGCCCCAGCCAUGCCCUCACGGUUUUGUUUCUGGGAACUCACACGAGAACUUCCCAGUGAGUCACCCAUCCUGGGAUUGCUCUCGUCCAAACUUGCUUAACUUCGGAGUUCCGAUGGAACUCGAAGCCAGUGAGUCCCUAAAAGGCAUCGUGCUAUUUGGAGGUGGGCAUGUACAUAAGGCACAUCACCCCUCUCCGUUGGUCGAUGUGGGAUGUUACAUAAGCCAUAUGACAUGUAAGUAGAUAAUCGAAAAAAGAAGAAUAUAAGUAAACUAAAAAGUUGAAGGCAUCAUUUUAUUACAUUGAUAAAAAAUAAAAAAAAGCAUGUGUUCAUAUAUUUGAAAAAAAAAUUCAAAUGGCAACGAAGAUGUAUGUCAAAUAGGGACGCUGCAAGUUUUCUGGUUGUGGCGUAUAGCAUCACCACUCCUACUGCACUUGUUGGGGUGUGUUUCUUCCCCAAUAGAUUUUAGUCUUUUAACUUUUGGUCUACCUGGGGGCUUCUUUGUCAAUGGUGUAUGAACUCCUUGACACCACCUGGAAAUUCUUGACCAACAUGGCUAAUGUAGUUUCUCCACGCAUGGGACAAAUAUGUCUUCCCAUGAGGAGUGGCAAACUUCCCUAAAUUUGCACGAUCAUCUGAGGGUUUUAUGCCUUCAUAUGUAAAAAUAUGUUUAUCAUGUGGGGAAGAAAUGGGAUCAAGUUACUCAACUGGUUCAACCAUGGAAACACUGAUAGGAAUAGAUGUUAUGUUUUCAACAUAAUAUGAAAAUUUCAUUACACUCACAUCCAUGUCGGAUUGUAACAAACAAGAUUGGUGUUCUCCUAGAGAGUACGUCAACUCCAUGACUUUAGGACUUAAUCCCACAAAUCGGGAACAAAUUUGUUCAGCAAUGUCCUUGAACUUAGGGCUGGUUCGGUAUGGGAUCCCAAACCGAAAAUGGGAUCUCAAAUCCUAAAUCGAUUUUUUUUUGGGACAGAGUUUUGAAAACCAAAACUGAACUGAAAUGAAGGUAUUCCCGAAUUUCGGGAUUCCAGAAAUUUUUUCGGGAUUUCGGUUUGGUUCGGGAUUCAUCGACCUCCCACCUUUCCUGCCAACCCACACGGCCACACCUCAUCUUAGAUUCGUCGACCUUCCCACCCCCAUCUCCAUCCCUCUCAUUCCUGGGCUUGUCUUUGCUGCCUUUGGGAGUCGGAGGGCUUUGCGAAGUGCAUCGAACAGAAUCAGGUAUCGACCAUCGUCGAUGUGUGAGCUUUUCCAUGUCUUGCCAAACAAAAUCGCCAUCAGAAGGCUACUCUACUUUGCAGGCUUGAGUGAUGGAUCUAAUGUCUUGGAAGAACGAUUGGGUUCCUCAGACGAAUGCUGCAAUGGGUAUGGUGUUUUGGGAAAAGCAGGAUGCGGGUGUGGCUGCUUUUGAAGAUUGAGAAAGCAUUUGGAGGCCUUGAGCUUGCUUCUGCAUUUGAGGGAGUCGAUGGAGGGAGAGAGAGAGAGUGUGGCUGUCUGAGGGAUGAGAGUGCGAGUUAUCAAGAAAUAAAAUAAAGAAGAAAGGUUAGUAAAGAUGGCAGACAAUGAGCCAUGAGAUAAAGAAACAAUAAAAAAAGGAAAAGGCAGUGAAGAAAGGUUAUCGGGCAAAGGAAUGGUUGAUUAAAGUUAUCGGGCAGAGGAAUGGUUGAUUAAAUAAUAUAUAUAUAUAUAUAUAUAUAUAUAUCAGUUUGGGAUUCCCGAACAAAGAAAAAUAAGAGACAGAUUCCCGUACCGAACGGUUCGGGAUCGGUUUGGGAUUGGUACCAAAAUUUUCGGGAUUUUCGAUUCGGGAUUUUUUCGGUUUGGGAUCGGGAUUUUUUCGGUAUGGUUCGGGAUUUUUGGGAUUUUUUUCCAACCCUACUUAAACUUAGUAUGAUUAAAUACUGGAAUUAAAAGGGUCUUGCUCUCAAAAGUGCACUUCGCAAUGAUAUAACUAUGAAAUAUUUAUUCCCUGAGAAUUAAACAAUUAUAAAACACAGGAAAGAAACAUAAAUGUAAUAGGUUGAAAAAGAUAUAACUAUGAAAGUCAUAAAUAACCAUUCAAGGAUUAUGCAAUAUAUAUAACUAGUCAUCCUUCCAUAACUAAACAAUUAUAUAACUAUUUAAAUCUAUCUCGUCUGCCAAAUCCAGGAUUACAACCCCCGCAAACGUUAUACAUUCUUCCAAAGAUAUAAAUCCAGAAUUUAAAGAAACCAGCUGGCAGAUCUAAUCCCAUGAGAUCUGUUCAUGUUGAAAGGUUAACAUAUUGAAAUAUUUAUUCCCUGAGAAUCGAGAGGGCAAGUGAACAACUAGAGGUAGGACAAAAGUUGAAUUUGCAUUUAUAACAGGUUUACAAAUGAAAUGUCAAAUUCCAUCAUAUUCGUGUAUGCAUGAUUUGAUGAUGAAAUUAUUUUAGAACUGGGAUUAAAUUUAAGUUAGAAUUGUAAAUGGAAACAUUAGAGGCUAAGGAUUUGAGUGAACUAAAUGUAAAUUUAGUAAUGGCUAAAUCGCGAGAGUGGUCUCUGAGAUUUGCAUAACACAUCACUUUGGUCCUAGAGAUUUCAAAUCAAUAGAAGUGUACCCUGAGAUUGUCCACCAUUCAUCAUUUUGGUCAUUCGGUUAAAAACUCCGUUAAGUGUCCCGGAGCUAUUGGCCGGAAGUUUGGACAAUUUUCAAAGCUUCGUAACUCAAUCGUUUCUUAACCAAAUUCGACUCAUAAUAUAUCAAAAUGAAGAUAUGAAAGUGUAGAAAAAAGAUUAUACCAAUUUGGAAGCCCAAUGGUUGCCGGAGAUGGCCGGAAAAUAGCCUCAAAGUUGACUGGUCCGAGGGAAAACUGGAAAUCUCGCUGGAAACUGGGUAAACUUUAAACGUUCAUAACUUCUUCAAUACUCAACGAAAUCAAGUGAUUCAAAAAUGAAAAUCAUACUUCUCGAUAAGACGAAGAGAAUGGUAUCUCUCUAGAUGGCUAACUUGACUUGGUUUGGCCGAAAAAAGGCUCGAAAGUGGCUGUCUUGGUCUCGAGUUAGCCAUUUUCGAGCCGUUUUCCGGCCAAACCAUGGAGAUUUAGCCAUCAAAAAAUGUAUCAUUCUAUUCUUCUCGUCGAUAAGUAUGAUUUUUGUUUUUAAAUCACUUGAUUUUGUUGAGUAUUGAAUAAGUUAUGAACGUUUAAAGUUUACCCAGUUUCCGGCGAGUUUUCCAGUUUUCCUUCGGACCAGUCAACUUUGAGACUAUUUUACGGCCAUCUCCGGCAACCAUUGGGCUUCCAAAUUGGUAUAAUCUUAUUCUACACUUUCCUAUCUUCAUUUUGAUAUAUUAUGGGUCGAAUGUGGUUAAGAAACGAUUGAGUUAUGAAGCUUUGAAAAGUGCCCAAACUUUCGGCCAAGAGCUCCGGGACACUUAACGGAGUUUUUAACCGAAGGACCAAAAUGAUGGAUGGUGGAUAAUCUAAGGGACCACUUCUAUUAAUUUGAAAUCUCAAGGACCAAAGUGAUGUAUUAUGCAAAUCUCAACGACCAUUCUCGCAAUUUAGCCUUUAGUAAUUCUAAGAAUAAGAUUUCCGAUCCUCUGCAGUGUUCAACCAUGCAGCUGACUUUCGUUGAUAAGUUAAAUCUUUAAUGAUUCAGCAUACUGAUAGGUGCGACCAGUGUACAAUCCCUUUUGAAAAUUCUUAUUGUAGAAAGUAGAAAUAUGAAUAACCUGCGACUUUUCUAAAUAAAAAAAAUGUCUAUACGGUAUUGUCUGUACCUUGUUCCCUGGUUGUCCUGCUUCCGAAACAGCCUUUCCACCAAAGAAUGCCCAAAAUCAAGAAAAUGAGGAAUAAUGCUGAAACAACUCCAAUCACAAUGAAUUUCUUCCUUUUGCUAUCAUCAGGCGGCUCCAAAUCUAGAAUAAGUGACAAGGACAGUGACAAUAAGAGAACAAUAAAUCCAGGAUUACAACCCCGCAAACGUUAUACAUUCUUCCAAAGAUAAUUAUGAAAGUCAUGAUUAUAUGGUUACGGGAAAUUAAAGAGUACAAUUUUCAAAGAGGCAUAACAUUAAACACCUUAUGUGCAUUGGUUUUUAUGAAUAAAAAGAGAAAGAAGCAUAUCAAUGAGAGAUGAUAGAAAGGGAUUAGGGGGAUUAGGAUAAAGUCUUCAUGUAAAAAUUUGCACACCAAACAGCAAUAAAGGAGAAAACAAUUAUAAUAUACCUGACUUGAAAAUUAAAUGGCAUUCAAUUUGCUAUGUUUUAGUCCCUUGAUAGACGGAGAAGGUUGAGUAUCGCCAAACCACGAAGGAAAAACACAAUCAUAAAAUUGUACCUGGAGAAUAGGUCUCCUGAAGAAAUAUGCAUGUAUAAAACACAUCUAAUUUGUAUAGAAAGUUAAAAGUGAUUAAGCCUUCCUUAAAAAUAGAUUGAUAAGAAAUUCAAAUUCAAAAAUUGUUAUCAAGAAAUCGGGGAGAAAGAUGAAGUAAACUACUGAACAAUGAAUUUGAAUGAUGAUAAAAAUUUAAAACGUGGGAAAUAUAUGGAGAACGUGCAAAAGCUAUAGGAGGGUAAAAUAGUAAUAACAAUGCAAAAAAAUCAACCUAAUCAGAAAAAUUGCUGACAUGAAAUCCUAGUCAUUGGAGCUAAAUUAAAAGUAACUAAAAAUUGGACUAAUCCUAAUGUUGGGCUAUAAAAUUGGACCUAUUUCAAGUUCCCCCCCCCCCCCCCCUUUUUUUUUUCAAUUACAAUAACUUGCAUGAAAAUUCAAUUGGGUUUGUUUUGGUCUUCAAGAAUUUUGCUUUGUUUGGUUACUGAUUAAUUUAUGUGGUGUGAGUUUAGUUUUUCCUUUUCUGCCUAUGUAUGUAUUAUUCGAAAUGGACCGUUCAAUUUGCUAUAUGUAAAUUUGUAAUCGAAAAGCUCGAAAAAGAGGUGAAUCAGAAACAAUGGUGGUAGAGUGAUGGAGUUGAGGAGUUGGGAGUUUACGGGAUUUACUUGAAUUAUUGUAUGAUGUCCCUGGCAUGUUAGAUCAUUGAGACUAACUGUCUGGUUGAUUAAUCACUAAUUUGAAAUAUUUAAAGUGUAACUUUUCUUUAAUUCCUUUUCCAUUUGUAUUUUCAUUGGAGUGCAGAUAAAAGAUUUUUCUUUUAUCUUUUCAACCACAAACUUUCCGAAGUCUUCUGAGAGUGGUCCAACUAGAGAAUUGGAUGACAAGUUUAGGUUUAAUAUAUACUUGAGUUCCCACAAGGAAGAUGGUAUUUUAGAAGUUAACAAAUUGUACCCUAACGAUAGACUUCUUAGAGAUACUGCUACAGUACCCAAGCAGGAAGGAAUAGAACCAGAUAGACGAUUACCACCCAAAAGUAAAUCGGCUAGGUUGUUUAGUUGACAGAGCUCAUACGGGAUAUGUCCUCCCAGUUCGUUAUCAUUCAAAUACAAACCUUGGAGAUUUUGUAGCCUUUGUUUGUAUUGAAGUUGGACUUGCUCCGCUCAACUAAUUAUUUCCCAGGCUUAAAUAUAUCAAGUUGCUGAAGUUACCAAUAUCUAUGGGAAUGUUACCCUUGAUGUUGGAAAUGCUUAAAUCAAUAGUUAGGAGUGAUGUAGAGACUACAACACUUUGGGUAUUUUACGACUUGAAAUAUACGGCGUACAGACGGGCAUGCCUUAAAUGAUAUUAUUCAUGACAUUCAUAAAGUUCAUGUUGUAAUACUUGCGCAUAAUCUCGCAUUUACGACAUCACUUUUAUGCAAGUUGUUAAAUAAAAAUAUUUACGGCUUAAGCAUUGUGUCUCGUAUUUGACAAUUUAUACGACGCACUUUCCUUCUCUUUUAAAACUUCGUGUUAUGUUGUAAAGUGAAUUUUCUAUAUAUUUGAGUCCCUACAUUUUAUGGCACGAAUAACACUUGUAAAUAAUGGCGUUUACCUUCCCGCCCAAAUUUCCCACCCCGCGCGUUCUUUUAUUUUUCUUGAAUCAAGAUCUCACGGUUUCCCUAGCAGCCCUUUAUUUUUCUUUAAUAAAUGAGGAAUCGGUACCCGGCCUGGACCGUUGAUUUCAGAUCCAAAUCAUGAUAUUCAAUCUACACCUUUCAUUUACCACACAUAUCUCAGGUUCUGAAGGUUCUGUCUGUCUUUCUUUGCCUCUCUCACGCAGCCUCUCUCUCGACUUUCACUCUCUUAGAUUCGUAUCUCCCAAUCCCAGCGGCCUCGAUUUCUCUCUCGUCUCCAACCAUGGUGCCACCAUCAUCUCUUGUCAACUCUUGACUCUCUCCCACUCUCGACUCUUUUCCACCACCUGCACUUGACGGUCCUGACUUCUGACCACCAUCUGUGUUCUAAAUAAGGUGUGCAGUUAGGGAUUUAAGAUUGUAAUAAAUUGGGGUUUUCUAGAUUUAGGGAUUUGAAUUUGAAUUUAGGGAUUUGGAUUUGGUCAAUUCUGGAAUCAAAUGUUAAUUAUAAUUUGUUUAAUUUUUGGCAAUUUGAGUGCAAAAUUAGGGUUUAUUUAUUUAUUUUAUGUGUUGACAGUAAGACCCUUUGUCAAUUAGUAACCACACCUACUUCAAUUGUUGGGGCUUGUUUCUUCUCCAGUAUAUUUUAGUCUUUUAACUUUUGGUCUACUUGGGACCUCUUUGUAAAUGGUGUCUGAACUCCUUGACACCAGGAAAUUCUUGACCAACAUGGCUAAUGUAGUUUCUCCACGUAUGGGACAAAUAUGUCUUCCCAUGAGAAGUAACAAACUUCCCUAAAUUUGCACGAUCAUCUGAGGGUUUUAUGCCUUCAUAUGUAAAAAUAUGUUUAUCAUGUGGGGAAGAAAUGAGAUCAAGUUGCUUAACUGAUUCAACCAUGGAAACACUGACAAGAAUAGAUGCUAUGUUGUUAGCACAAUAUGAAAAUUUCAUUACACUCACAUCCAUGUCAGAUUGCAGCAAACAAGAUUGGUGUUCUGCUAGAAAGUACGUCAACUCCAUGACUUCAGAACUUAAUCCCACAAAUCGGGAACAAAUUUGUUCCCUUGAACUUAGUAUGAUUAAAUACUGGAAUUAAAAGGGUCUUGCUCUCAAAAGUGCACAUCGCAAUGAUAGCUCCUUCCAUAACUAAACAAUUAUAAAUAAAACAUAGGAAAAAAACAUAAAUGUAAUAGGUUGAAAAAGAUAUAACUAUGAAAGUCAUGAAUAACUAUUUAAGGAUUCUGCAAUAUAUAUAACUGGUUAUCCUUCCAUAACUAAACAAUUAUAUAACUAUUUAAAUCUAUCUCGUUGGACAAAUCCAGGAUUUUGCAUGAAAAUUCAAUUGGGUUUGUUCUGGUCUCCAAGAAUUUUGCUUUGUUUGGUUACUGGUUAAUUUAUGUGGUGUGAGUUUAGUUUUUCCUCUUCUGCCUAUGUAUGUAUUAUUCGAAAUGGACCGUUCAAUUUGCUAUAUAUAAAUUAGUAAUCGAAAAGCUCGAACAAGAGGUGACUCAGAAACAGUGGUGGUAGAGUGAUGGAGUUGAGGAGUUGGGAGUUUAUGGGAUUUACUUGAAUUUUUGUAUGAUGUCCCUGGUAUGUUAGAUCAUUAAGAUUAACUGUCUGGUUGAUUAAUCACUAAUUUGAAAUAUUUAAAAUGUAACUUUUCUUUAAUUCUUUUUCCUUUUGUAUUUUCAUUGGAGUGCAGAUAAAAAAAAAUUCUUUUAUCUUUUCAACCACAAACUUUCUGAUGUCUUCUGAGAGUGGUCCAACUAGAGAAUUGGAUGACAAGUUUAGGUUUAAUAUAUACUUGAGUUCCCACAAGGAAGAUGGUAUUUAGAAGUUAACAAAUUGUACCCUAUCGAUAGACUUCUUAGAGAUACUGCUACAGUACCCAAGCAAGAAGGAAUAGAACCAGAUAGACGAUUACCACCCAAAAGUAAAUCGGCUAGGUUUUUUAGUUGACAGAGUUCAUACGAGAUAUGUUCUCCCAGUCCGUUAUCAUUCAAAUACAAACCUUGGAGAUUUUGUAGCCUUUGUAUUGAAGUUGGAAUUGCUCUGCUCAACUGAUUAUUUCCUAGGCUUAAAUCUAUCAAGUUGCUGAAGUUACCAAUAUCAAUGGGAAUGUUACCCUUGGCUUUCACUCUCUCUCUGCCUCUCAACUGGUUAUUUCUCAGGUUCUGAAGGUUAUGUAUGUCUCUCUCUGCCUCUCUCACGCAGUCUCUCUCUCGACUUUCACUCUCUCAGAUUCGUAUCUCCCAAUCCCAGCGGCCUCGAUUUCUCUCUCGUCACCAACCACGGUACCACCAUCAUCUCCUGUCAACUCUUGACUCUCUUCCACCACAUGCACUUGACAGUCCUGACUCCUGACCACCAUCUACGUUCCAAAUAAGGUAUGCAGUUAGGGAUUUAAGAUUGAAAUAAAUUGGGGUUUUCUAGAUUUAGGGAUUUGGAUUUGGUCAAUUCUGGAAUCAAAUGUUAAUUAUAAUUUGUUUAAUUUUUGGCAAUUUGAGUGCAAAAUUAGGGUUUUUUUUUAAUUUUUUUUAUUUCAAGUGCUGACAGUAAGACCCUUUGUCAAUUAGUAACCAAUUAGUAACCACUCAGUGCUUGUUUUAGACCUGUCACCGAAUACAAAAUCACGGCUUUUAAUUUUCAUUUUGCAAGUCAUCAUAAGGAAUAGAUAAUUCUAGAAUUAUAGUGUAAACUCUUGAUUUUCAUUUUCAAACUUGAUUCUAUUUCAGAAUUCUGAAGAGUUUUCAUUAUGGUGUUGGGGAUUUGUUAAUUUUGCUCUCUCUCUCUCUCUCUCUCUCUCUCUCUCUCUCUCUCUCUCUCUCUGUGAUUUGGUUGGGAUUGCAGAGUGACUUGGGUUUCUUUGUAUGCAUGUCCCGGACCUCCAGGUCACAUGGGGUACUCAGCAAGGUUCUACUUUUGCAAAGAAGAUGGAGAUGUUACAGACUUACAAUGAUACUGCAAUCCAAAUAAUCUGUUUUGAAAAUCCAAAUAAUCUGUGAGUAUGUUGUAGUAGUAGAAUAACACUGUGGGGCUUAGCCUAGUACUUAAAUUAUUGACUUUGUUGCUUAGCCUAGUACUCUGUGAGUCUGUAUAGUAGUAGUGUAGUACUUUAUUUAGUUUGUACUAUUGGAUAAAAAUGAUAAUUUGAUUGAGUAUAUAUCAUAUUAUACAAUUCCAAUGUAGUCUAACAUGAUUCGAUUUGCACCAGAUAUGGAGUGUUUCAAAGAAAAGGGUACAUUUGAUCGGGAGAAAUACCAAUGAAGGAUUUGACAGGGUAAGUUCUUCCUCUGCUCAAGAACAAAAGCAAAUUACAGCAACCAUUUAUUUCUAUUAGACAUAUAUUGGAUAUUUCAAAUGUCUUAUAACCAGAAACACAUGGCUUCUGAUAACGUUAGUUAAACACUUCUUCUUUUGCCCAUUCUGUGUUGUGUGUUCACGCGUCUGUUUUUCUCUUGCACGUUGGUUUACGGCAAAUACAUGCUAACUAUUACCAUUCCCAAGCCGAUGCUGUAAGAUCCUUUACAUAUUUCAGAAUGAAUGAUAAGAUCUUUAGGGCUGAAAAUUGGACUAACUUCAUUCCUUUUGUUAAAAAGACGAGCACAAAUUGGUGAAGCAGCCAAAAAACCUAACUUAAAUAGUAAAUUUAUUGAUCUAGAGUAGCAGCCUCACUGCCCUAUAAUUUUUUGUCAAGGGCAUGUGUAGAAGUUUAGAAGUUUGUAACUUCCUGAUAUAUUGACUGAAAUAACAUUGUGCUCCCAUGCCCUAUAUCUUGACCUAGAAGUGUAAAUUUUUGAAACGGAUUUGAUUGGCCGUAAAAACUGAACGCUUUAUACCACUAAAAUAUAGGAAGAAUAACUGGAAUUGCAAUCUUGGUACUACUGGUCUCAUUGCCUUGUCAAAUACAGGUGCGGCAAUUCAAUUUUAGGAAUAUCGUCAUAUUUUCAUAUCCGUCACUAUAAGAAAAUAAUGUAGUUUUUGAAGAUUGAAAACAACAAUAAGAAAAUGGAUCCGAAAAUAUAGAGAACAAAGAACUAAGAAUUCACUCCUCCAGAGUCCUUCAAAUACUUGGUCUUGAUUUUAUUGAGUGUGACUGCGGCAUCUUUCAUGUUAAUCCUCUCUUCCGGCAAUGCUGCACAGCAAGCUAAAGCUAAUCUCAUAACGGAUGAUAAGCAAUCCCUCCUGCUGACGAAAUCACCAUCUUCCUCCGUCCCAAGUAUAUCGGCAUCCACAACUUCAUCUAUAGCAGAAUCAGGAAAUAAUGAAUUUUCAAUCCAUUGCUUUAAAUUCAUUUCCCCAACAAACAUCUCAUCUGUUGGCUUCCUUUUUGUAAAUGUCUCCAUGAGUACAAUACCAAAACUAUACACAUCCCCUUUCGUCGAAACAAUUCCCCUCAUCCCAUACUCUGCAAAAUUUGUAUGUGAAUUUAGUUAUAUAUGAUAAAAAUAAAUUAUAACUCAUAAUUAAGACAAACAUUUACAAAGUUGAAAAAUACAUCACCUGGCGCCAUAUAUCCAACUGUGGCUAGGGUUAUGGUUUCCGUCAUCGAAUCACCACCGCCGAUAAGUCUUGCAAUGCCAAAAUCAGCAACAUGUGCAAUCAUAUCAUCAUCUAGUAGUAUAUUGCUUGGUUUCACAUCACAAUGAACGAUAGGCAUCGAGUAACCAUGAUGAAGAUAUUCUAGUGCCAGUGCAACAUCUUUCAUUAUGUCCAACCUCUGCAGGAUAUUCAUGGAACGGUUUGGAGAAUACAACCACUUUUCGAGGCUUCCAUUAGGCAUCAAUUGAAGUAUCAGGGCUUUGAAAUCGAGUUCAUCGCAGCAGCUUAUGAUUUUAAUAAGAUUCCGAUGACGGAUAUUGCUUAGCAUUUCACAUUCCUUAUCAAAACUCUUGAAUGCCCCUUCUAGCUGUAAAUUGAAAACCUUGACGGCGAUAUCUAUCCCAUCUGAAAGUGUUCCUUGGUAUACUGAGCCAAAACCUCCCGUGCCUAGUAAGUUACUCUCAUGAAGUCCAUUUGUCGCUUUUACAAGUUCUUGGUGCGAAACUCUUCUCCAAGGAACUUGACGUAGCGAGGCAGUUUCUCGUACAACUUCGACAUUCCUUUUCCUGCGUAGUAUCAGAAUCAAUGCAGCGGCCACUAGGAGUAUUACUAAAAUGACCCCUGAGAUGAUAUAUUCAGCUUUCCUCCACUUUGGCUUAACUUUUGUUCCAUAUUUGCACAUUGGAACAUGGAGUCGGGAAGCACCGCAAAGCGCACCGUUUGAUGCAAAUGAAUCAGCAUAGAAGUUUUCGAAAGGCCCGCCUGUUGGAAUUUCUCCUUGGAGUUUGUUGAAUGACAAAUUCAGAUGCUUGAGAGACAAGAGUGCUUCCAAUGACUUUGGGAUCUCUCCAGAUAGAUUGUUUUUGGACAAAUCCAAGAAUUCUAGGCUUAGUAGGGUUUUAAAUGAACUGGGAAUAAGGCCUUCUAAAUUAUUGCUUGCCAAGGAGAAAUUAAUCAUAUGGAGAAGACCCCCAAUGCUACCGGGAAUGUUUCCGGAGAAAUGGUUAUUUGAUAAAUCCAUAUCCACCACCCCCUUCAACUUCCCGAUAUCUUCGGAGAGUUGUCCAACUAGAGAAUUGGACGACAAGUUUAGGUACAAUAUAAACUUUAGUUCCCACAAGCAGGAAGGAAUAGAACCAGAGAGCCGAUUACCACCCAAACGUAACUUGGCUAGGUUGUCUAGUUGACAGAGUUCAUACGGGAUAUGUGCUUGCAGUUCGUUAUCAUUCAAAUACAAACCUUGGAGAUUUUGUAGCCUCUGUAUUGAAGUUGGAAUUGCUCCACUCAACUGAUUGCUUUCCAACUUUAACGCUAUCAAGCUGCUCAAGUUGCCAAUAUCAACGGGAAUGUUACCCCUGAUGUUGGAAAAGCUUAAAUCAACAUAUAGGAGUGACAUAGAGAGAUUCGAAGCUGGAAUCGUGGUGUUCAAUGGAUUAUCUCCCAAGUGUAAUCUUAUCAAAUUUCUAAGAUUAAACAAGCAAGAGAGGGUGCUUGCUGCUUGUGGAGUUGAAACAUCAAUCGUCAAAUUAUUCGAGUACAAGAGAAGACACUCAAGGUUUUUCAAGGAACAAAGCGUGCUAGGAAGAAACCCGGUAAAUGAGUUUACACUCAUGUCUAGCUCCCAGAGCUUGGAAGCAUUGGAGAGGUUAGGGAGUAGCCCGACCACGAGGUUAUUUCUGGCUACACGAAGGAUUUCUAGGUUUGGAACGUUAAGACCUAUGUUUGCUGGGAGGCCACCUGAUAGCUGAUUAAAAGAAAGCGAUAUUUCUCUUAUCAUGGAGUUAUUGAAGAGUUUGGAUGGGAUGAUGCCAUUGAGAUUAUUAAAACCUAGCGACAAAGCCUCUAACUGUGGAAGAUCACCAAUCUCUUCCGGUAUUGUACCUGUCAUAAUUUCAGCACAUUUAUGUCCACUUUAGAACUUCAGUUUAACUAAAAACUAAAAACGAAAUGAUUAUCAAACAGUCCCAAAUUAGUUACCUGUUAAAUUAUUUUCUUCAAGAAGAAUCGUGGUUAAGUAGGUCAAAUUGCCAAGACUUUUGGGUAUGCUUCCGCGGAAAUUGUUUGACGCUAAUGAGAAUAUACGAAGCUCUUUGCAUUGCCACAGUUUGGAGGGAAUUAGACCGUCAAGCUUGUUUUGAGUCAAAUAGAAUUGUCGAAUACUUGAAAGAUGGUCACACAUAUUGUCCGGAAGACUACCACUCAUGUUGUUUCCUUGUAGAUUGAAAGCAGUCAAAGAAGAUAUGUUGAGGACAGGCACAAAAGCAGAGCCUUUUAGGGCAUUGUCCUGCACAAACAACUCCUCCAGCCGACCUAAACUGCCUAUCUCGUUCGGAAGUUCUAUAAAAUCAAUCCGUGUAUAUUGUUAAAAUCAUGUAUACAUAUACAGGAGCAGCUUCUUAGUGGGAAUCCUGUUGUACCGUAGCAAAAGUGGGAUACAUUCUAAGGACCAUGUACUCACUAUAUAGGACCUUUUUUUUACUCUAGAAUACGAGGGUCUUACACGGUAGAUAUACGAUCCUACAAUAGUCCUCUCAUCUCAUUUUUUGCUGAAGUUGAACAAGAUCCCAGCUAAGAAGAGGCUAUAUAUAUAUAUGUAUGUAUGUAUGUAUGAAUGUAUGUAUGUAUGUAACAAUAAGUCAUGUAGUAUACCUUCGAACUUGUUGUCGUCAAGGUAUAUGCCCUUCACCAUUGUUAAGUUGCCUAUUUCUCUGGGUAUGCUACCUGUUAAAUAUGUGCAUCCAUUCCAACAAAAAAGAAAGAAAAAAAAAGAGAUGAUUGUUAUACAUCUUAUAUAAUGAAAUCAUGAAGCAAACCACGAUGUUAAAAUGAAACAAAGACGUUAAAAUGUAAUCAUGAAGCAAUCAACAUUAAUUUAUAUUCCUAGGUGGUUGGUAAUGGUGGUACGUACGUACCUGAUAGUUGGUUCCUGCUCAGAUUAAUUAUUUCGAGUGCAGAUAAGUUGAAGAUAGCAGCGGGUAUGGAACCAGAGAAGUCAUUACCGUACAAUUUGAUGGUUUGAAGUUUAGGAAAGGACCCAAACCACGAAGGAAUGGUUCCCAUAAAGUUGUUGUUUCCAAAGUUAAUCGCCUUCAACCGGCGCAAACAAGACAGUUCUUGCGGUAGGGGACCAUGAAAGCUAUUAUUCAUAAGGCCUAACUCAACGAGAGAUGAGAGGUUGCCUAGAUGCGGAGCAAUAACCCCAGCAAGACCCAUGUGCGAGAGAUUUAAGGCCGUGACUCUGUGGUGGCGAGCACCGCAGGUAAUGCCAACCCAGUUGCAAAUGUCGGAAUUGGAGGCAGAGGACCAGUUGGCGGUCAAGAUGUUUUGAGGGUCACGAGUGAUGUGAGCUUUGAGAGCAAGAAGCGCGGACUGAUCUGUGCUAAAAUUGGUAUGAGCUAUUGCUAAUGCACCUGCAGUUAAGUAAUUAGCCAUAAUCAUCAUAUAGAUAUAACACAAGCGGUGUAUCAUCGACAACAUUUUUGAUAGUACGAAACGACUUCUCUCCUUAAUUGUAGUACUUUUCGUCUUUCAGUUUAAAUUUAUAAUCGGUGUUACCAAGACUAGUCAAACGAAGACUAGUCGAACGAAGACGUGUCAUGUGGAUUUUUUCACAUAUCAAGCACACACCAUUCAUUUUUUUAUUAUAGCUUUCAGGUGGCGUACGCCGUAGGUAACACCUACAAAUCGCAACUUGGAAGUGAGCAACCAGUGGUAAGGAUGUUUUGGUCUGUGGUGGUGAUAUUUGGUAAUUGGUGCUGCCAGCCGACGAGUUCUGUCCAUUUUGUGGGCACAGCUGGAGAUGCCCAAAUGUGGAAUUUUAGUCUUCAGUUCACCAUCAAAACAAACAACACCAUAAAUUUCAAGAUUGAUAUUUAAUGAUGACAUACAUUUUGAUGGUGGAAAAAACUCCAGCCGCCACAGGCAUGAAACAGACAUGCAUCAAAAGACUUUUAGGUGGAAAAAAUAUGCAUUGGCUGAAAUGGAGAUAAUUAGUAUUUAAAAUGUUAAAUUUUUUUCUUUUUGGCUCACUAAUUAGAUGCAAAAGUGAGAUUGUAUGAACAAUUUUACACCCAUAAACAUGAACUACACAAAAUCACAACUGAUCUAACAAUGAGAAAGUAUAUAAGACAAUACACUAUCAAUAGGCUAAAACACUCUUUUAAUUGAUCUAACAAUAGCCUAAUAGGAUUAACUAAACCAUUAGAGACUACAACAAUUAGAAAGUCCGAAGAUUGAAGUUCUAGUUGAAUAUCUUUGAACCCCUAGGUGUUGGACACAUUUUCAGUAAAUUUGUUCAGGAAAAUAUAGAAACUCAUGAUGCAAUUCCAUCGUCUGGGAUAGCACAUAUUUACCUGGAAUCCAACCUUAAGCUAACAUUUUUCAUAAGUUUAUUCUUUUUGUUAACUACAAUGGAAUUUAUAAAACAAUUUUAGAAAAACUCGAGUCUAGAUAAUGGAUUAUUGUUCUAGUUUAAAAAAUUUUGACUUGUGUUCUAAGCAACAUAAUGUAUUCACAUUUCAAUUGUCAAGGGCAUCGCAAUAAUCCUCGACUGAAGAUAUUAAAAAUCAGAACUUCUUCUCCAAGUUUUCAUUUAGUUUAUUUCACUUGUCCAUAAAAUUCAAAGAAGAUUAAAUAAAGACAAUAGCAUGCCAAAGAUUAAAAUCCCUCAUUUCAAACUCUGCUAAUGCACAUCUCUGCUUGGUUUUCUUCUCCAGAGACCAGACUAAGCGAGGAGUCAAGUUCUCCAGUGCACCAUCAAUCUCCCGUUCGAGCAACCAUCACCACCUCACUCGCCACUCCGGCGAGGCACCACCUUGCCACCACCCUCAUGUCUCACUCCCUCUCUACCACUCUCCCUAUUUCCCUCACCUCUUUCUCUCGAUACUAUGCUCGCUGGGCGAACUACGCCAUCACGAAACCAUCACCAUUAAUCUCGCCACCUAGGCAAGUUUUACCAUCCCCGAACCCACCCACUGCAAACUGCUUUCAUGCCUUCUAAUUUCAAUUCUUGCAUUUCUUGUAUGGUAUCCAUGUCUUGCGCAUUCAAGUACUUAUAUACCAACUGAGAAUAACAAUAUAAAUCCCACACCCACCUCUUUUCCCCACUUGAAAAAAUCACCUAAAACCCACAUUAACCACCAUAGUUUAAGAAUCCAAACAUGGCUCCAAAUUUCAAUCUAAUUAAUUAAAUUACGGAGGAUUCUACCUACCUCAUGAAAACAAAUAUGUUCAGUUAAAGAAAUUCCCUAAUCACUGCAGUGCAUCUUAAACUACUUCUUAACUAUGUUAGCCAUACCAAACUAAUAAAAAAUCCAUGUUUCAAUAGAUUCUUAUUAAUUCCAAGUCCAAGUAUUUCAGCAUCUAGAUUAUAGAAAAAUCAUAACAAAACAAAACUCAAUCUUGGUGCUAAAGCACACUUCGUUAACCUCACCUUCAUCAAGUCCAUGACUCCUGCCAUGAGAUCUUUCUCUUAAUCAAGUCAAUGAAUCCUGCCAUGAGAUCUACCUGUACAACUAAUUGUGAAUGUCUACAUAGAUAUUUUGGUUAAAAUUUUACCACAUUCUUGUCGAUAAAAAAUAGUUAUUGGUAAUUUUCCCACAUGUUAGGUAGUUUAAAACCGUCCCAAAAAGUAAUAUACAUGUACAACUAAUUGUGAAUGUAAAAAUCAUAUUCUACAAAGAUAGGUAGUUUAUAUUGUAAGCCAAAUUGAUAGGUAGGAUAACAAAUAUAUAGUCUUCACAAAUUGCAAAAGCCAUAUGACAUAUAAGUAGAUAAUGGAAAAAAGAAGAAUAUGAGUAAACUAAAAGGUCGAAGGCAUCAUUUUAUUACAUUGAUAAAAAAAAAGAAAAAAAAAGCAUGUGUUCAUAUAUUUGAAAAAAAAUAUUCAAAUGGCAACGGAGAUGUAUGUCAAAUAAGGGCGUUGCAAGUUUUCCGGUUGUGACGUGUAGCAUCACCACACCUACUGCUCUUGUUGGGGCGUGUUUCUUCCCCAAUAGAUUUUAGUCUUUUAACUUUUGGUCUACUUGGGGGCCUCUUUGUCAAUGGUGUCUGAACUCCUUGACACCACCUGGAAAUUCUUGACCAAUAUGGUUAAUGUAGUUUCUCCACGCAUGGGACAAAUAUGUCUUCCCAUGAGGAGUGGCAAAUUUCCCUAAAUUUGCACGAUCAUCUGAGGGUUUUAUGCCUUCAUAUGUAAAAAUAUGUUUAUCAUGUGGGGAAGAAAUAGGAUCAAGUUGCUCAACUGGUUCAACCAUGGAAACACUGACAGGAAUAGAUGCUAUGUUUUCAGCACAACAUGAAAUUUUCAUUACACUCACAUCCAUGUCAGAUUGCAGCAAACAAGAUUGGUGUUCUCCUAGAGAGUACGUUAACUCCAUGACUUCAGGACUUAAUCCCACAAAUCGGGAACAGAUUUGUUCAGCAAUGUCCUUGAACUUAGUAUGAUUAAAUACUGGAAUUAAAAGGGUCUUGCUCUCAAAAGUGCACAUCGCAAUGAUAGCUCCUUCCAUAACUAAACAAUUAUAAAACACAGGAAAAAAACAUAAAUGUAAUAGGUUGAAAAAAGAUAUAACUAUGAAAGUCAUGAAUAACUAUUUAAGGAUUCUGCAAUAUAUAUAUAUAUAACUAGUUAUCCUUCCAUAACUAAACAAUUAUAUAACUAUUUAAAUCUAUCUCGUCUGCCAAAUCCAGGAUUACAACCCGGCAAACGUUAUACAUUCUUCCAAGGAUAUAAAUCCAGAAUUUAAAGAAACCAGUUUGCAGAUCUAAUCCCAUGAGAUCUGUUCAUGUUGAAAGGUUAACAUAUUGAAAUAUUUAUUCCCUGAGAAUCGAGAGGACAAGUGAACAACUAGAGGUAGGACAAAAGUUGAAUUUGCAUUUAUAACAGGUUUACGACAAGGGCCGGCAUUAAACCCCUUUUGAGUUUUAGCAUAUUGAUGAACUGUCAAAUUCCAUCAUAUUCAUGCAUGCAUGAUUUGAUGAUGAAAUUAUUUUACAACUGGGAUUAAAUUUAAGUUAGAAUUCUAAAUGGAAACAUUAGAGGCUAAGGAUUUGAGUGAACUAAAUGUAAAUUAGUAAUUCUAAGAAUAAGAUUUCCGAUCCUCUGCAGUGUUCAACCAUGCAGCUGACUUUCGUUGAUAAGUUAAAUCUUUAAUGAUUCAGCAUACUGAUAGAUGCGACCAGUGUAAAAUCCCUUAUGAAAAUUCUUAUUGUAGCAAGUAGAAAUAUGAAUAACCUGCGACUUUUCUAAAUAUAAAAAAUAACCUAUAUGGUAUUGUCUGUACCUUGUUCCCUGGUUGUCCUGCUUUCGAAACAGCCUUUCCACCAAAGAAUGCCCAAAAUCAAGAAAAUGAGGAAUAAUGCUGAAACAACUCCAAUCGCAAUGAAUUUCUUUCUUUUGCUAUCAUCAGGCGGCUCCAAAUCUAGAAUAAGUGACAAGGACAGUGACAAUAAAUAAGAGAACAAUAAAUCCAGGAUUACAACCCCGCAAACGUUAUACAUUCUUCCAAAGAUAUAACUAUGAAAGUCAUGAAUAUAUGGAUUACGGGAAAUUAAAGAGUACAAUUUUCAAAGAGGCAUAACAUCAAACACCUUCUGUGCAUUGGUUUUUAUGAAUAAAAAGAGAAAGAAGCAUAUCAAUGAGAGAUGAUAGAAAGGGAUUAGGGGGAUUAGGAUAAAGUCUUCAUGUAAAAAUUCGCACAGCAAACAACAAUAAAGGAGAAAACAAUUAUAAUAUAUAUGACUUGAAAAUUAAAUGGCAUUCAAUUUGCUGUGUUUUAGUCCUUUGAUAGACGGAGAAGGUUGAGUAUCACCAAACCACGAAGGAAAAACACGAUCAUAAAAUUGUAACUGGAGAAUUGGUCUCCUGAAGAAAUCUGCACCUAUAAAACUCAUCUAAUUUGUAUAGAAAGUUAAAAGUGAUUAAGCCUUCCUUAAAAAUAGAUUGAUAACAAAUUCAAAUUCAAAAAUUGUUAUCAAGAAAUUGAGGAGAAAGAUGAAGGAAACUUCUGAACAAUGAAUUUGAAUGCCGAUAAAAAUUUAAAACGUGGGAAAUAUAUGGAGAACGUGCAAAAGCUAUAGGAGGAUAAAAUAGUAAUAACAAUGCAAAAAAAAUCAUCCUAAUCAGAAAAAUUGCUGACAUGGAAUCCUAGUCAUUGGAGCUAAAUCAAAAGUAACUAAAAAUUGGACUAAUCCUAAUGUUGGACUAUAAAAUUGGACCUAUUUCAAGUUUCCCUAGUUUUUAUCAUUUUUCAUUAAAUUUUAGACCCUUUACAUUAAAUAAAGUUAGUAGAUGAUUUUUUGUUAAAAUAAAUUUAGUCUAAACCCUUUUUUCACUAAAGCUCUCAUAAAUAAUACACUUGCAAACGUGGUCGGUUAAUUAUCAAGAGGUGAUAUUCGCAUUCACUUUUCUCUCCCACAUGCUUAACUUCACAACGAUGUUGCAAAAAUCUCUUUUUCAUAACGUCAAAUAUUCAGCGGCUGUCUUUGCGUUUCUGUUUGGUCAUGUAAAGGUACAAAUCUAUAUUAGAAAGGAGAAGGAAAAAAAAGAACUCCGUGGUACACAAAUGAAACCGCAUUAUUUUACAAUAAUUCCUAAUGAAAAGUUGUUUAGUUUCGUUGACCAUUAAACUUGUAACAAACAUAACUCAGACAAAUUCUAUUUAGUCAGACGUCCCACUUAAAGUGCAGAGUCGAACAAAUGCAGGCAGUUAUGGAAGCUCUCAUGGCAACCAACAAAAGACCAGAGAACCGUUUGAGACCAAAAUUUUCGCAGCUCAGCAAGACUCUGUUGGAGUUUUGAAUGGAAAAAACCAUGAGUUUAUUUUAAUCUGCACUCGUGGAUUUUUUUUUUUCUUUUUUGCAGAUUUCAAAUUAUAAGUCUUACACAAGUAGAUUUAGCGUAUUGAAUUAAGUAUAGAUUAAAAGAGUUUGGUAUGGAUUAGGAUGCAGCCCAUAAUUAGAGCAAUUAAGAUAAGGGCUCGGGGACCUUGGGUUCUCAGAAUUAAUCCAAUCUAUAUAUAUGUGUGUGUGUGUGUGUGUGUGUACAUACAUACAUACAUACAUACAUACAUAUAUAUAUAUAUAUUCAGAUAACUAUGAGUUUGAAUUCAAAUCAAACGUUACAACUGAAAUGAUCAGUUAUUAAUCAAAAAACACAACGGUGAAAGGCAGUUGUUCAUUCUCGUCCAAAAUGCGUGAACAAGUCCAUAAAUUUACCAACCCGUUCCAUUCAGAUUAUCAAUUUUUUAGGCAACCCAGUUUUCAUGUAACAUUAAUAUUUUGGAGAGAAACACUCAGUAUGUUUGAUACAAUCAAAGCCCUAGUGCAAGGACUUUGAUUGUGAUAGUUGAAUCCUGGUGAUAGAAGCCUACAAGAACUACUGCAAAAGUGUAGAGGCCAAAUUUCUGUCUUGCAAGCCUCUACCAUCCAUCUGUUAGUAAAUUCUUACUCAUUUAAUAUUUUUCAUUUUCAUUUGCAUUAUCCUUAUUAUUAUCAGUGGUUUGUAAUUUGUAAUACUGUUAUCAAUAAAUCAUAUUUUCUGUUUUGUUUCCAACAGACUCUUUCAAAACCUGGUAGCAGUUUGGCAGGCUUGAUCCUUGUUACUCAUGCUAAAUUGGUGAUAUUGGGUGCAGAAAGGACGACGGAAUAGUUCCCAAUUCCCCGAGAAAGCAGUCACCAGCAGGAAUGAGAAAAGCUGAAAAGACAUAACCAUCAAAACGAUUUCUUCUCAUAAGAAACUAGACCAUGAACUCCACCUUCUACUUGUGCUGCUGCUGUUCUUAUCUGCACAGUAAAAUACAUUGUCAACUAAUUGAGAAACCAUAUUAGUUCUUGAUACGAUCGACCGUCAUAACUGUAAAACUUAAGAACUCUCAAGGUUUUACUUCAAGUUUCAUACCUCUGCCAAGAGAGGCUGCAUGUAUUUAUAUUCAUAUUCAACUUACAUCAGAAAAUGAAAACCCUAUUUACAAUUCAUGCAGCACGUGCUGCAUGUGCUUGGGGAAAUAUAAAAACUAAUAAGUCCAUCCCUAUUUACAGUGCAUGUUGCACAUGCUGAGGGCUUAUAUAAAACUAACAGUUCCAUGACCAUCUCCAUGCUGCCCGUGCCUUUCUUGUCGAAGGCCACACAUGAUGUGGAGAUAGAAAACUGAUAUAAAACUUGCAGUCCAUACUUCUUGGUUCCCAUAUUCAAAAUCUAGCUCUGCUUGGAUAGGAGGCUCGAACUUGGUCUAACAGCCCCCCGCAAGCUGACAGGAGGAGAAACAACUGGAAGCUUGGAAACAAGAUGCUUGAACCGUGAGGAGGACAAACCUUUGGUGAAGAGAUCAGCAAUCUGGUCUUGAGAACAUAUGAAAUUCACAAGUAACUCUUGACGAACCACUUUCUCACGAACAUAAUGAUAGUCUACCUCCAAGUGCUUUGUACGGGAGUGAAACACGGGAUUAGACGCGAGGGCAAUGGAGGAAACAUUGUCACACCAGAUGGUUGGUCGAUCAAGAAGUAGAUGUAGGUCACGAAAUAAAGACCGGAACCAUGAUAAUUCUGCAGCAGUAUAGGCAAGCUGCCUGUAUUCAGCUUCUGAACUUAACCGACUGACAGUUUUGUGCUUUUUAGAACUCCAAGACACGAGAUUGGAUCCUAAGUAAAUGCAGAAACCACCUGUGGAAUGCCGUGUAUCAGGAUUCCCAGCGUAAUCAGCGUCAGAAUACGCUGUAAGAUGUGCAGUACCAGGUGUAUACACAAGACCAUGGUUGUAUGUGGAUUUCACAUAGUGAAGGAUCCGUUUUACUGCCAUCCAGUGAGUAUUCUUUGGAGAUUGCAUGAACUGACAUACCUGGUUUACUGCAUAAGAGAGGUCUGGUCUCGUGAUAGUUAGAUACUGAAGUGCGCCGACAACACUUCGAUACGUCUCAACAUCGUCGUGUGGCUCACCAUUGUAAGCACUAAGUUUCUGUCCGCAAGAGACUGGAGUGGAAAUAGGUUUAGCAUCCAAAAAUUUUGUACGCUUCAGCAAGUCCACAGCAUACUUGGCCUGAUUCAAGUGCAUUUGAUCACCAUGAUAAGUUACUUCAACACCCAGAAAGUAAUGAAGAGACCCCAAUUCCUUCAUUGAAAACAAAGUUCCCAGUUGAUGAAUUAAACGGGACAUGUGGGGAGUGCUAUUCCCUGUCAACAAUAUAUCAUCUACAUAGAUCAAUAAAAAUCAAGUAGACACCAGAGUGAUUGAAAACAAAUAAACUGUAAUCACACGUAGAUGCUUGAAACCCUAAUUGAAGCAAAAACUCUGAAAAACGUUGAAACCACGCUCGUGGAGCUUGUUUCAAGCCGUAUAUACUGCGUUGCAAUUUACAAACAUGGUUGGGAUGCUGCUCAUCAAUGAAACCUGCAGGUUGUCGCAUAUAUACUUCCUCCUUCAGAAAGCCAUGCAGGAAAGCAUUUUGUACAUCCAAUUGCCGGAUGUGCCAUUUAUUUGAAACUGCCAAACUAAGAACAAGGCGUAUAGUGCUGUGCUUGACCACAGGGCUAAAGGUCUCGGUGUAAUCAAGUCCAUGCUGUUGAUGAAAUCCAUUUGCGACUAACCUCGCCUUGUGCCUCUCCAAAGAACCAUCCGCUCGUCUUUUGAUCUUAAAAACCCAUUUAUUUGGCAGCACAUUCAGUUGUGAAUGAUAAGGAACAAGCUCCCACGUGCCACAUCGUUGUAGUGCAUUAAAUUCUUGAACCAUGGCGUCCCUCCAUUUGUGGUGCUUGAUUGCCUGACUGAAACAUGUGGGUUCAACUAAAGGUUGAUCAGUAGAGACAUGCAAGGCAUAUUUAGGAUUAGGUUUGUGGAUGCCAGACUGUGAUCGAGUCGUCAUAUGCGACCUUUGUACUGAGGCUUGAUGAAGUGAAGCAGUGUCAUGGUCUGAUGGUGGGUGAGACUGAGACGUAGGUGACUCAACACUUGUGACUUGCUCAUUUAAAAUGUGGUUCGGGGAACUAGGGUUGGGAAGAAAUAAGGUGGCUAGCGGGUUGGAAGGACAAGAUAACACGGGAUUUUGGGAAAAAUUAUUGGGAUCAGGACUUUGCGGAUUGGGCGUGGUUGAGGUUGGCUGUGAUGGGAUCACUAAACAUUGGUUAUGGUUUGGCAAAGGUAAGGAUGACAAGAGUAUAGGAAAUGUGAACAGAAGAUCAGGGGAUGUAAAACUACCUGUGUGAUCAACGUUUUCCCGCAAGGAUGUGAGUUCCUUAAAUGGAAAUGAGUCCUCAUCGAAUAGGACAUGGCGAGACAAAUAAAUUCGUCUCGUGGACAGGUCCAAACAUUUAUACCCUUGAUGAUUCAGUGAGUAUCCUAAAAAUACACAUGGUUUGGACUUGGGUUGAAGUUUAUUUUGUGCAUAAGGAACAAGCCAAGGAAAGCACUUACAACCAAACACUUUUAACAUCUCAUAGUGUGGAGGUUUUUGAAACAAGGUCUCAUAGGGCGAUUUAUGAGACAAAACACGAGUUGGCAGUCUAUUAAUUAAAUAGGUUGCCGUUGAACAUGCAUCAAACCAAUAUUUAUUUGGAAUGUGAGAGUGAGUAAGUAGGACAAUACUUGUUUCAACAAUAUGGCGAUGUUUUCUUUCUGCUAGGCCAUUUUGCUCGGGAUGUUUUGGACACGAAAACCUUUGAGAAAUUCCAUUUGUUGCAAGAAAUCGUUGAAAACAGUGACUCUUGUACUCAACCUCCUUCAUCACAUUGAAGGGUUUUAAUGGAAGUAUUAAACAUAUUUUCAACCUUAGCUUUAAAUUGAACAAAUAUUUCAAACACUUCAGAUUUAUUUUUCAUGGGAAAAAUCCAAGAGUACCGAGAAUAAUCAUCCACAAACAAAACAUAAUAUUGAAAACCUUCAAUUGAAAUAACGGGAGAACACCAAACAUCGGAAUGUAAAAGUUGUAAGGGAAAUUGAGAAACAGACUCUGAAGUACUAAAUGGUAACUUAGUACUUUUUCCUAAAGGACACGACGGACAAAACGUGACAUCAACAGUACCAUGAAUUGGUACUUGUUUGUUUGAGAUUAAAAACUUGAUAAUAGAGAAUGCAGGAUGACCAAGACGUGAAUGCCAUUUCGGAGCCGAGACUCGAAUGCCUAGACAUACUGAAAUAGGGUUUAUGAACUGUCCACCACCACCAACAAAUGGGUAUAAGCCAUUCUCACAUCUCCCGCGGAAAAGCGUCUUCCGGGUCUUGAGGUCCUUAACAAGAAAAAAAAUGAGGAAAGAUGAGUAAAUAGCACUUGUUGUCUAAUGUAAAUCUGUGUGCAGAAAUAAUGUUGGUUGAGGCAGUGGGGCAUCUUAGAAUAUUUGGCAGUUUAAAUGAGCAAGAUUGUGUUUGUAGAUGAUUCGAACCUAUAUGAGAAAUAGAGAGGCCAGUAUCAUUACCUACACCACCCACAUUCUGAUUACCAUUGUAUUCUUUUGGGUUUACCAAAUUCUGGAUGUCAGGAGUCACAUGAGCGUUAGCACCAGUGUCCAAAAGCCACUGUCCAUUGUUCUGAUGAUUAAACGGAACCGGAGUUGUUACCAUGGCAGUGAGCUGUUUUGUUGGAAUCCUCCCUUCAUAGGCUGCAUUCAUUCGUUGAUAACAAUCAAGGGCAGGAUGACCUUGUUUUCCACAAAUCUGGCAUGUGAUACGGUCUCCUGUGAGAGUGAGUUUCUCACCAUUGUAGGUCGAGUUGGGCCGUUGAUUAUUGUUGAGAGGAAAGAACCCCCGCGGGUUGACACCACCACCACGUGCAUACUGAAACGCACCACGUCCAUUUCCACGAAGUCGUCCACCACGACCUCUGGCAGUGACAAAGGCAUUCACCGGAGCAGCCUCCAUAGGCUGAGCAUUCUGUGCAGCCAUGCGUCUCUCGGUGGUCAGUAGGAGGGCCUCAAGGGUAGGGUACGCGAUUGGAGUAUCGCGUGCUUGAGCAGCACUCACUGUCAUUUCAUAUGUAGGGCCCAAAUUGUUCAAGAUAAUUUGGACGAGUUCAUCAUCAUUCACGGGGUUGCCAGCUAGGGCAAGGUUAUCAGUGAUCGAGUUCAUGCGAUCAAGAUAAUCAGCAAUAGACAUGUCACCUUUCUUAGUUUGCAUCAGUUCAUUGCGAAGAAACAAAAUACGAUUUUGGGAUGUAGAAGCAUACCGUUGUUCCAGAGCCUCCCAGGUGUCAUGAGAGGACCUCUUGCUGGCGACGACGGACAACACAGAUGGCGUAAGAGAGCCAUUGAUCCAGCUCAGGAUCAUUUGAUCAUGCUGCACCCAUGUUGUGUAGGUUGGGUUGACAGCUGCAGCAUCAGGAAGAUGUUUGGGUGGACAUACGAUGGACCCAUCAACAUAUCCCAUCAGGUUACGACUCUUGAGUAUAGGAAGGAUCUGAGCCAACCACAGAGGAUAGUUGGUUCUAUCCAGUUUGAUAUUAACAACCGUUGUCAUGGAUGAGUAGGAAUUCAUGGCAGAGUUUGAAAGAGAGUUGGGAGAGGUUGCAGCGCCGUUGGUAGCGUCAGCCAUGGAAAGAAAAAAAAAAUUGAGGAUCUAAGUCGUUAGACUGCUAGGGCUCGUAUACCAUGUAAAACUUAAGAACUCUCAAGGUUUUACUUCAAGUUUCAUACCUCUGCCAAGAGAGGCUGCAUGUAUUUAUAUUCAUAUUCAACUUACAUCAGAAAAUGAAAACCCUAUUUACAAUUCAUGCAGCACGUGCUGCAUGUGCUUGAGGAAAUAUAAAAACUAAUAAGUCCAUCCCUAUUUACAGUGCAUGUUGCACAUGCUGAGGGCUUAUAUAAAACUAACAGUUCCAUGACCAUCUCCAUGCUGCCCGUGCCUUUCUUGUCGAAGGCCACACAUGAUGUGGAGAUAGAAAACUGAUAUAAAACUUGCAGUCCAUACUUCUUGGUUCCCAUAUUCAAAAUCUAGCUCUGCUUGGAUAGGAGGCUCGGACUUGGUCUAACAAUAACAUCUCAGCUUCCUUGAGCAAUAACAAGGUAAUCGUGGAGUGCGCUUUUCCUUGAGGUAAUAGAUCGGGCAGGAAAACUAUCUAAGAAGUAAGCGGGGAGAGGGAAGACCCUGAGAGGUUACAGGUUUCUUCUGCGUAAGUAAAUAAGUGUCUGCAUAUGAGUGACACACAAUGGCAAUACUCUAGGUUAAUAGGUUUCCUCCCCACUCGUUUCAGUGGUUUAACCUAAGAGUGAAGAACAAAAAUACCACAUAUAAUGGAAAGAAACAUUCGCUACAAUAUCAAUUCUCAUUUAAAGCAUAGAACUAAAAUGACAUCCUUAAUGACAAUGAUAUGAGUAAUACAACAACGUCUGCAAAAUAGUUAUUGCGUAAAACGAGGUUUCCAAGAUCUUGGUGCUUUUUCAUUGCCUUAAAACGCUUGAUUUUAUGAGGUCAUGAGCAGACUGCAAUGAAGAAGCACUAAGAUCUUGAAAUUUCGAGAUAUUCGCAACAACUAUUAAAAACCUAUAAACAAACUGAUUCAAGAAAUCAAGACUCGUACAUAGUGGGAGUCCUAGAGUUAUAUUUAUUAAAUACAAGAAAAAUAUGGGAGUUCACGAGUUCGAUGCACCGACUUGGUGACUCUGCUUGGCUAUGGCCACUGUUAGGGUAAAAUUCUUCUUAGUCUCUCUGGACCUGAAAGAAAUGAAUAACCUUGACUUGUCACCAAUUGUAUUUCUUUUAAAAAAGAAAAAAAAAGAAAAAAAAAAGUAUUUUCUUUUUCUUCCUCAAUGGUGUUUUUUAUUUUUAUUUUAUUUAAAUUUAUUGGUUUCUGGCAUCGAUUAAUUGAUGUUGGCUAUAAAUAUCUUUUGGUGUUUUUUUUAAUGUUAAUCGCGUGUGCAAAGCUUGCUUCUGUAUUUCUCCCUUCAAUAACAAAGCUGUUUCACUUUUCUUUUUGUUACUAAUUCCUCAUAAAACACUAAAUUUUCUUAUGCUUCGACGUAUGUCUUACAUGUCAUUGUGUGGAAGAGAAUUAGAGCAUACUAAAAACAAUGUGCGGAGGAGAAUGACUUUUGAUGAAAAUGUUUUUCAAACUAAUUCUUAGUAAAAAUACAAAUUGAAUCUUGAAAAAAGCAUUUCAAGUGCUUUCUACCAGAAGUACAUAACUGGUUCUUUUUGGAGGCAACAUUUUAAAUGUUUUUCGAACUCAAAAUCAUUCUAUUUAAAAAUAUUUUCAAACGGGUGAUGCUCAUCUGCACACGAAAAAUAAAUGUUGAGAUUUAACUAAAUUUCAAUUGGCCAAAUCUCAAUAGUUCAUUCGUGAAAAAUGGUGCAGUAAAGAGAAUUAGACCCAAGUCUAGUCAACCUGAGAGGACUUUGCUAACUUGUGGAAUGGGCGGAGGACUUGGUAUUUUCGACCCCAUCGAUUUCCUAGCGAGCUUCAGCUUCUUAUAUAUGGACUUGUAUGCUCACCUCAGUAGCCAGCCAUCUGCAACAAAAAAAGAAAAACUUCAUAAAAAUAGAAAUUAGGCAUGCGCGUUGCCGCGAGAACCAGCUGUUUCAGGCAUAAUCGGAUGAAUAAAACACAUUUAAGUCGAAUAAAUUCAACACAAUUAUGAACAAACAAAGGGAUACAUGAGUGAAUGAGGUCGAUAAGAUAAGCAACUUAGCUUUUAUAUAGAUUCAACUGAGCAUGGCUUAUUCAAGGGUUAAAAGAGCAGUUAAACUGAUUGAAAUAAAAACAGUUACAACAAAUGACUUGUACUCUAGAGUUUCGUUCACCAAAAUCACUUCUCAUUCCUAAAUUAGGCAAAUUCCCAACAAUAAAGGUCGUACCCAGUGCACAAGGCUCCCGCUUUACGCAGGGUCUGGGAGAGGUGAAUGUCGGCUAGCCUUACCCCCAUUUAUGGAGAGGCUGCUCCCAAGUCUCGAACCCGAGACCUACCGCUCAUGGGCGAAGGCACUUGCCAUCGCACCAAGUGCGACCUCUCAAAUUCCCAACAAUAACAAAAAAAAAAAUCUCUUGGAUUUCACUCACUUAAUCAUAGGCAUCCAAUCAUCCGCAACAAAUGCAGAAAGAAGCAGAAAUCACCUUGAGACAAUACAGAGUCCACUGUUGCUACCUCGGCAGCAUGACACAGUUUGGGCAACAAAGAGCAUAAAAAGGAACAUAAUUUCCAAGCAAGCAGAGUAAUUGCAGAGCUAUAAGUUUGUGAUGAGCUAAAACAGCUACCUGUUAAAGUACAUACAAAGUUUUCUCAGAAUUCAAACACAAAAAACAAUCAAUCAACAGACAAAUUUUAAGGCUCAAAGGUACCAGCCAGGUGAAGUGCAGUGAAUUCAAAGUUGGCGCAGGAUAGAAGGACCUUGUUUCAGAAAGGAAAGAUGUGAUCGCCUUUGUGAUGUUUACUUUUGUGCUUAUCCUUUGUCUUCUUUUCUGAGGCAAAAUAUGUCAAUGUGAUAAGUAAUUUCCCAUAAAGAAUCUCAUCCUCAAUAGGCUAAAAAAACUACAAUGGUUAGUCAAAUAAUGUACUUUCAUGUAGUUAAUCUCCUAGGUUUGUGUUCACUUUUUCAAUAUCAAAACAACUCGAUGAAACAAUGUUUUCCCAUACUCUACAAACACCGAAUGUGCCCGAUAAACCACUAACAAUGCCAUUACUCUAAUUCGACUGCAGAGUGAGAGUUAAGAAAAGAAGAUACUCACAGCCCAAAACGGAUGACAUCACCAACACGUAAAUCCACAUAAACCUUUUUGUUCACCUGAUUAUUAGGCAAGAGAAAACCAUUAGGAACAAUCAAGAGCCUUUGUAUAGCUUCUGUCUCUGUACCAAGAGGAACGACUUACAUGCUUCUGUCUCUGUACUACAUGCAAUGAAGGUAUAGCUUGGAUACCGGACUUGCUCCUAGCUUGAGCUGUUUCCAAAGAAGGAAAAUUUAACAUUAUUUUGUAAUAAAUUGCAGAGUGCCUUGCACAGCUCUCCAUGCUGCAGAAGAAAAUAAAAACAACGAACCAAUGAUGCACGAUGAUAAAAUCGUGGGACAAAAUCAAAAGGUAAUAUCCAGAGAACUCGUGGUGACACUAUUGACCUAUAGUGUGCAGACUGAAUUGCCCUUCAAUUCUUAUCAAUCAUAAACAAAAAUCUUUUAAACGACAACCAUACAGAAAAUGCAGCUCGUACAUCACAGACAACAACACAUGCAUGACUAUUCAAUCAGUACCCGCAUCCAAAACUGUACAUGCAUGAAUAUUUUUCCAUUCCAGCUAGUACAUCACAGACAACCAUACAGGAAAUACAGAGAUGAAAAAAGAAGCUGAGUCCAGUAGAUCAUGCAUUGAUUUGUACGUAAGACAACUUCGAAACAUUAACCGCAAUGAAGCAAAACAAAAAAGUACUACUGCACACCACAGAUUGGCCAAAAAAACGCAUAAGAUCAGGAGAAUUUGCAUAUGCAAAGAACAUUGACAUCCUGAUAAAACAAAACAUACAAAUAGAAUUAAUAUUACCAGCCGAAUCAAGAUUACAAACCACAGACAUUAGCAACAAAAACCUCAAAACCAAUUCCUCAGACACUCCAAAAAAACAACUCAAAAUCCAUUAAAAGUACAAAAAUCACAUAUUUCCAUCUAUGCCUGCAUGUAUUUUCGGGAUCAAAAAUUCAAAACAAAGUAAAAUACCACUGGGUUUGUCGCUGAGAUUGAUUAAGUGCAAUUUGUAGGGCACUUUCUUCUCCUCCAAGGUCAGAAGAACCCUUUGGCUGAAAGGGCCUGUCAGAAACGAAAGAUGGAAAAUUUUAGUAGUAACAAAAGAAGCAAUGCAAAACAGUCUCUAAGAACCAAGUUAGCAUCCAUAGGCACAACCCAACAGUCUCAAGAAUUUUGUUCCAAGUAUAGUCUACCUUUCAUUUUCAAAAUAAAACAUCUUCAUCUACCAGGUAAAUGAUAACAUAAAGUAUCAUUUUCAAUCUACAGAAUUUUGUAAUCGAACCCAUAUAUAUAUAUAUAUAUAUAUAUAUAUAUAUAUGGAGAAAAAUCAACUAUUUCCCUAGUACUAACAAAAUUAGUAGUGUAUAUACGUAAUAUAUAUAUGUAAGUACACUUUUGGAUUUGAAGAAUUUCUCCUUGGAUAAUAAAAUUGCAGGGUAAAACAUACUUGAACCAUUUCACUGACGAAGUUGAAACCUCCAGGUCCAUAAUGGAUUCACUAAUAACCUGUCUAGUUUUGGUAUGAAGGAAGAAGAAUAUGAACAUUAUGUAAGAUCAUAGCAUUAAGUUUUCUCUAUUAAGUUUGGAAAUAUAUGUACACGGGUAUGUAUUUAUGAAUGUAUGUAUCAGACCAGUUGUCCAGCGCAAGCAAAGGCAAUGCCACCACAGGUUACAGAUACAAUAACGACCACCAAAUCUGAUAUUAAUCUACAAUUUGGCCAGACGGGUAUUUUGCUACCAAGGCAAAAUUCUCAAUAGCCCAAGCAUCAGCCUAUCAUAUGAAGAAAUAUUCAUAAGGGAAAAGGUAAGCUUAAACAGGAUUUCAUAUGUAUGAACUCACUCUUUGAUACUUAAUUACUCGUCCUAUUACCAAAUAGCUAUUGGAAAUGGUUGAGUUAUAAAACUUGACUAUAAACAGGCCCGACUCUUAUCAAAUAGCUCUCAAAAAUUCGAUAUGUAAAAACUGAACAAAAAAAUAGAUCCCAAAUCUUAUCCAACAACGAACAAUGAACCAAAGUUACAUGAACAAAAACAAUACCAACAUUUCAAGCUGUACAAAACUAAACCCAUUCAGGAAAGCACAAAGUCAUACAUCCAAUCCUGUCCCAUUCAAAAUUCCAAUACUCGAUUCUAAAGAAUAAAAAGAACAAUAGCAUUCAAAAUCAAUAAUUGUAAAGAAUACCAACGGCAAUAGCAUUCAAAAUCAAUAGUUCGCAAGUCUCCAACCUGCAUAGCAAAAUGCAAAGAGAGCAAAAGUCUCCAACUCUCCAACCAACAUAACAAAAUGUCAAAAAUCAAAAUGCCUUAAUGGCAUUAGUACAACACAAAGUUCAAAAUAUUAGCAAUAAAUUUAAAAAUGCCUUAUCUAAUAUCAUUGAGGGCAUAAGUUGGAAGAGAAGACAAAAAACGAAAAGGGGUUGAUGCAGGCAGUGUAAAAAGCAUAAGAGAGGAAAGAUACCCAAAACCAAUCACAAAUUAUAGUGAAAAUUCGUGUUAUAGCAACCCUAAAUUCAAAAAAUUUCUCUCGUUUUCCAUAUUUUCUCAUCAAACAAACCACAUAUUCAUAUAAAAUCAGAAAAGUAAAAUUACCAAUAGUAGCAUGCUCUGGGGCUCGUAUGACGGCGUUCCUUCGCCCACAGCGGUGUCGAGAUUGCUUUCUGCAGCAAGGAUUACAAAGGAAGUCCGUAAAAUUCAUCGACAACUGCAAGAAAACAAAACCACCAAAAGUCAGAGAUUUCCAAAACCGAAAAGAAAUGAGAGAGACAGAGAGAGAGAGAGAUUGGAGUACCGUAAGUGCAUAAACAUAUUGGAAAAACAAUUGCACGGCAAUUACUACAACUUGAAUCAAAAUUCCACUGUUCAUUACACAUUGCUUUGGAAUUGUGUAAGUAGAGAAAGAAUUGGAGUUCUUAAAGAGUGUUGGCGAACUGAAUAUCAGAUUCGAGCGCCUUGAGAGAUUCAUUGAAGGAUUUCGUUCAACGUUUAUCAAAUGUCAGUAAAUUCUGUAAUGUACAUGGAAAAAUCUAGAAAUAUUGAGAUGAACAAAAAUAAGUGAAUCAAACGACUGUAAUUUUGAAAUAUCAUCUAUUAGCUAAAACGACAUUUUUCCAUCAAAAUAACAUAACCCCAAAGAAAAAAUGGAAAUUGGGAACGGCCCAUAAUCUGAAAGGUCGUACCCAGUGCACAAGGCUCCCGCUUUACGCAGGGUCUGGGAGAGGUGAAUGUCGGCUAGCCUUACCCCCAUAAUCUGAAAAUUUACAAAAAUUAACAGAAACGGAUGAAAUAUGAGAGAAAGAAUUGGAGUUCUUACAAAGUGUCAAUGAAAUUUUAGAAGAAGAACUCGAUUUUCCUGAUCGUUUUUACUCUUUUCUCAUCCCUCCCAUAAAAAAUCCUAAACACUCAUCACUCCACCCACCUCAAAUCCUCUCUCUGAAAAUAGCAAAAAUAUAUGACCCUUUCUCUCUCUGUAAUCUGAAGAAAAAUCUGAUCAAAAUUUAUAAAAUUAGUUUUUGGUUUUGUAAAAGUGUGGACAGUUAGAAGGGAAUUUGUAGAGAGAAGAAGGGUAACGUUUUCAGUAGAUGGGAAGCAAAGCCAUAUAUGUAGCUCGGUUCGUUUAGAACCAACGAUCAUCCACACAAAACUUUGACUUACACAAAAACCGAUUCAAAAAACCAAAACAGAUACCCAAAAUUAUAACCUGUUGAGCCCAACUACUGGAAGCCCGAGCCCAAUACUCUCUCUUGCGAGUGGGCCGUACCUGAUCCAUCUUUUGGUCCAUAUAGAGCUAGGGUUACUUAUCUUCAGAAUAUAAAUAUGUAAUAUUGUGGACUGAGAGGAGGAAUGAAUGACUGAAUGAAACUUUCUACUUUUUCCCUUAUUCUUCUUUCCUUAUCUCCUUCAAUUUCUGCACUGUUUUCUAUUGAAUCUAACUUCUCAAGACACCCGAGCCCAUUAGUCGUAUCAACUGGUAUCAGAGCCCGUCGAUUCGAUGGGCAAAAACCCGCAUACCGCCACCUCCGACCCUGACGCCGCCGCUGCAGCGGCUGAUGUGCGCCAGGAGCACCUGCGAACACAAGUCGACGACUUGGGUGACUCCGUAGCCGCACUGGAAUCCCAACAUACCAACCUGCAAAAAUCUAUGGAGUCCCUGAACAACGCAAACACUACCUUUCAGAAUACUAUGACUUCACAAUUUGUAGCCUUCCAAUCUCUCAUGUUAGAAGAGCUCCGCCUCAUCAAAUCGGGAUUUCCACCUCCCACCCUCGCCCAAACAGCCCAUCCACACCCACCCAACCCGUCACCCUCCCAUCCCCACCCUCGCCCUCCGCCAGCUUCUUUUACCACCACCCAAACCUCAAACCCGACCCCACCCCCUUCAUUUCGAUCCCUAUUCGCCAAUACCAGUGCUCAAUCUUCGAGCCUCGCCCAUCUUCCUACCUACCUCACCACCACCCUACCCGCUCCCCUUCCAACUACUAUGGCCACCCGCCCCAACCCCUAUCAUUGUGGGUCUCCAUCCCCUUUCACGCCACACACCCCGUCCUUUUUUUCCGCACACUCCCAGUCUUUCCACCUAAGCCCAUCUACGACUGCGGCCCCAUUUCCACCCAACCCCUCACAUACCACCCAACUCACCUUACCAUCACCCCCAUUCCCACCUUAAAUCCAUAAAAAUGGAACUGCCACGAUUCAAUGGCGAAGAUCCCUACGGCUGGUUAGCCAUGGCAGAACGCUACCUCGACUACUAUGAGGUACCCCCAAAUCAGUGGGUUCUCGUGGCUGCGUGCAAUUUUGGGGCUGAUGCCUCCAUCUGGAUGAGAGGAUUUGAGCAACGAUACGGUCGAGACAACUGGAGCCUCUUUGUGGAUAUGUUGUUCCAACGUUUCGGGGGAGGUGACCGUGCCAACAUCGAAUCCCAGCUCACUCAUAUCCAGCAAAAAUCUUCAGUGGAGGAUUAUUUGGCAGAUUUCACACGGCUCUCUUGGCGAGUAACCGACUGGACGGAAAACCAACUGAAACACGUGUUUUUCGGAGGUCUGAAAGACGACAUUCGCCUCGACGUCCUGGCCCGCGAACUAGAUUCACUACACCACGCUAAAAAAUUGGCCAAAAUCUUCGAAACCAAACUUCAUGCCAAACGUUCCACUCGACCACAAUUUCCACGGCCUUACCUAUCCACUACCACCAACCCACACACCUCCACCCACACUUCUUCCCAAACAACCACACCACGACCCCCAACCUUGGCCAGUGCACCCUUCAAACGCCUCACUCCGGCGGUAGUGCAAGACAAAAGAAGGAAAAUGAGUGUUUCAGCUGUAAUGAACCUUACACCCCCACCCACAAAUGUAAAACACCCACCUUGCUCUUGCUAGACACCACUCAAACCGAGGAGACUCCCCAAAGUAUCACGACUGCCAAGAGGACCCUAGUCCCGAUGCCGACCCCACAUGUCACAUGCUGGAACUGUUCUCGAUUCCGGGUAUCGGUAUUGGCAAACCAAUGAAAUUGCAUGGCUCCAUUGCAUCCAAAGCCGUCACCAUCCUAAUUGACUCUGGGGCCGCCUGCAACUUUCUGCACCCCCACGUGGCUGACCAACUAGGCCUUCCAGUGCAAACCAUCCCUGCUGUCAAAUUCACAACAGCCUCCCAAGACCGUUAUUCCUCCAAACGCGUCUCGGAUAUCGCACUCCAAAUACAAGACUACACAUUUCAUGGGUCUUUUCUCUUGUUAGACGUGCCAGGAUGUGAUCUUAUUUUGGGAGCCGAAUGGUUAGAAUCCUUAGGAUUUAUUGGCUGGCAUUUCAAACAGAAAACAAUGGUAUUCUCAGUGGAUGGACAAACCUACACCUUACAAGGUUUGACCCCGUCGACCUCUGUGUUCCCAGAGUGCAACCCCAUACACCACUUAUUCAACAACCCAUUCAAUCUCCUAGCAUCCAUACCCACUCCCACCACCUACCUUAACCCAUCCACCGAAACCCACCCGGCUAUUUCCUCACUACUCAAUCAGUACCAACACAUUUUCACACCACCUUUCGGCCUUCCACCAGAAAGACCCAUCGACCACAAAAUUCCCCUACUACCAAACACCAACCCCAUCAAUGUUAGAACAUGUAGAUACCCCCACUACCAAAAAGCUGAAAUAGAAAAACAAGUGCAGGAAUUUUUAAACUCAGGUGUCAUCCGCCCAAGUUCAAGUCCUUUCUCUUCCCCAGUUCUUCUUGUUAAGAAGAAGGAUGAUACAUGGCGUCUUUGUAUUGAUUAUAGAGCCCUGAAUGCAGCAACUAUCAAAGAUCGUUUCCUGAUACCUGUCGUGGACGAACUUCUUGAUGAAUUACAUGGAGCAACAAUCUUUUCAAAGCUCGACCUCCGAUCUGGUUACCAUCAAAUCCGCAUGAACGCUGCCGACAUUGCAAAGACAGCUUUCCGCACCCAUGAAGGCCACUACGAGUUCACGGUAAUGCCAUUUGGCUUAUCAAAUGCACCUGCCACAUUUCAAUCCUUAAUGAAUUCUAUCUUCCGCCCUUACUUACGAAAAUUUGUCUUAGUUUUUUUUAUGACAUACUUGUGUAUACUACAAAAGGGGGCUAUAGUGUCGGAGGGUGGUGUCGCUUUAAUCUAAUAUAGUGACGGAUUAGGCAGUUGCGACACUAACUGAACAUGACGUCGGAUUUACUAUCGCUUAUAAGCGUUAUUAAAUGUUUAUGUCGCUUUUAAACCGACGUAAACAUAUAUUUUAAUAAUUUUUAAAUACUAGUGUCGCUUUUAAACCGACGUAAACAUUAUUUUAAUAAUUUUUAAAUACUAGUGUCGCUUUUAAGCGACAUAAAGAAUGUAUAUAUAUAUAUUAAAUUAUAUAUAUAUUAAAUUAAAUUUUAUAUCUCUAAAAACUAUAAUAAUUAUAUAUAUAUAUAUAUUAAAUUAAAUUUUAAAAAAUUGGUAAUCAUUGGAUUGGCUUAAAUAUACAUACGAUUCAAUUUCUUAAGUGUUAUACAUACAAAAUAAAUAAAUUUAAAUCUAUUUAAUAUAUAUAUAUAUAUAUAUACACACCAUUGAACUUGAUUGGAUACGAAUUCUAUGAAACUAAUUUCGACAGUUAUAAACGAAAAAUCACGAUUUAACGGUUAUUUUAACUCCGAUUUUGAUGAUUUUUUACAUCUACACUCCUUGACCCUAUAUGAAUACAAUGAAUGGAUUUGAUCUUCAAAUUAAAAUAUUUACACAAGUGGAUACCACAAAAUCUUAUGUUAUACUUAAUGAAAGUAUAAAUAAACUCUAAGUGUUAGUCAAUCUAUUGUUUUGAUGGGAUACAAAUUCUCCGAAACUAAUUUCAACGAUCCCAACCGUCAAACUUGUUUGCAUAUGCUUCGAGAUCACAUCAGCAAAAAAUCACAAAAAACAAACAUUCAGAGAUCAAGUAACGGGACAAAGCUUUUCGACGGUUAUAAACGAAAAAUCACGAUUUAACGGUUAUUUUAACUCCGAUUUUGAUGAUUUUUUACAGCUACAUUCCUUGACCCUAUAUGAAUAGAAUGAAUGAAUUCGAUCUUCAAUUUAAAAUAUUUACACAAGUGGAUACCACAAAAUCUUAUGUUAUACUUAAUGAAAGUAUAAAUAAACUCUAAGUGUUAGUCAAUCUAUUGUUUUGAUGGGAUACGAAUUCUCCGAAACUAAUUUCAACGAUCCCAACCGUCAAACUUGUUUGCAUAUGCUUCGUGAUCACAUCAGCAAAAAAUCACAAAAAACAAACAUUCAGAGAUCAAGUAACGGGGCAAAGCUUUUCGACGGUUAUAAACGAAAAAUCACGAUUUAACGGUUAUUUUAACUCCGAUUUUGAUGAUUUUUUACAGCUACACUCCUUGACCCUAUAUGAAUACAAUGAAUGAAUUCGAUCUUCAAAUUAAAAUAUUUACACAAGUAGAUACCACAAAAUUUUAUGUUAUACUUAAUGAAAGUAUAAAUAAAUUCUAAGUGUUAGUCAAUCUAUUGUUUUGAUGGGAUACGAAUUCUCUGAAACUAAUUUCAACGAUCCCAACCGUCAAACUUGUUUGCAUAUGCUUCGAGAUCACAUCAGCAAAAAAUCACAAAAACCAAACAUUCAGAGAUCAAGUAACGGGACAAAACUUUUCGACGGUUAUAAACGAAAAAUCACGAUUUAACGGUUAUUUUAACUCUGAUUUUGAUGAUUUUUUACAGCUACACUCCUUGACCCUAUAUGAAUACAAUGAAUGAAUUCGAUCUUCAAAUUAAAAUAUUUACACAAGUAGAUACCACAAAAUCUUAUGUUAUACUUAAUGAAAGCAUAAAUAAAUUCUAAGUGUUAGUCAAUCUAUUGUUUUGAUGGGAUACGAAUUCUUCGAAACAAAUUUCAACGAUCCCAACUGUCAAACUUGUUUGCAUAUGCUUCGAGAUCACAUCAGCAAAAAAUCACAAAAAACAAACAUUCAGAGAUCAAGUAACGGGAACAAAGCUUUUUCGACGGUUAUAAACGAAAAAUCACGAUUUAACGGUUAUUUUAACUCCGAUUUUGAUGAUUUUUUACAGCUACAUUCCUUGACCCUAUAUGAAUAGAAUGAAUGAAUUCGAUCUUCAAUUUAAAAUAUUUACACAAAUGGAUACCACAAAAUCUUAUGUUAUACUUAAUGAAAGUAUAAAUAAACUCUAAGUGUUAGUCAAUCUAUUGUUUUGAUGGGAUACGAAUUCUCCGAAACUAAUUUCAACGAUCCCAACCGUUAAACUUGUUUGCAUAUGCUUCGAGAUCACAUCAGCAAAAAAUCACAAAAAACAAACAUUCAGAGAUCAAGUAACGGGACAAAGCUUUUCGACGGUUAUAAACGAAAAAUCACGAUUUAACGGUUAUUUUAACUCCGAUUUUGAUGAUUUUUUACAGCUACACUCAUUGACCCUAUAUGAAUAUAAUGAAUGAAUUCGAUCUUCAAAUUAAAAUAUUCACACAAGUGGAUACCACAAAAUCUUAUGUUAUACUUAAUGAAAGUAUAUAUAUAUAUUUAUUAAGUAGAUUUAAAUUUAUUUAUUUUGUAUGUAUAACACUUAAAAAAAUUGAAUGGUAUGUAUAUUUAAACUGAUCCAAUGGUCACCAAUUUUUAAAAUUUAAUUUAAUAUAUAUAUAUAUAAUUAUUAUAGUUUUUAGGGGUAUAAAAUUGUUACAUUAAUAUAUAUAAUUAUUAUAGUAUUUUUAGGGUUAUAAAAUUAAUAUAUAUAUAAAAUUAUAGUAUUUGAAAUAUUAGGCGGGAAAUUUCCCGCUUGUUUGAAUGGAUGGAGAGACUUAGUGUCGGUUUUAACCGACGCUAGUGUCAUUAAAGCGACGCUAUGUGAAUUUCAAAAAGUGUGUCAGAAGUUGGCGUCGGUUAAAAGCGACGCUAGUUUCAUUAAAGCGACGCUAGUUUCAUUAAAGCGACGCAAGUUGCAUUAAAGCGACGCUAUGUGAAUUUCAAAAAGUGUCAAAAGUUUGUGUCGGUUUAAAGCGACGCUAGUUUCAUUAAAGCGACGCUAGUUUCAUUAAAGCGACGCAAGUUUCAUUAAAGCGACGCUAUGUGAAUUUCAAAAAGUGUCAGAAGUUUGUGUCGGUUUAAAGCGACGCUAGUUUCAUUAAAGCGACGCGAGUUUCAUUAAAGCGACGCUAUGUGAAUUUCAAAAAAUGUGUCAGACGUUUGCGUCGGUUUUAACGGACGCAAACUAAGUACCCAUAUUUAAACCCCUAUCUUUCCCAUUUCAACUGUGCUUUCAUUUCUCCCCCAAUUUCAGACUUUCUUCUUCUCCUUCCCCAUUUCAUAUGUGCGCCCCCUUCUUCCUCCUUUUCAGUUUUUCCUCAACUCCUUCCCCGUUUGCUUUGGAUCACCAGUUUGAAGAUCAACAUUCUGAAGAACUCCAAUUCGAGGAGGAAGAUCUUGAAGGUGGUUCAUUUUUAAAUUAUUAUGAUUAUUAAUUUUAGUUUCUAUUUUGUAUUCUAAAUAGUUUUAUGCUUAAAUUGAAAAUUUAUUUUUGUUUCUUGGUUUUUAAUUGUUUUUUUUUUUGUAUUUAUGCAUGUUGGAUCUGAAGAGCAAGGACACUGGAAAUCGCAGAUCCAUAAUUUUUUAAAGGUAUAAAACCUGAGUUUAAUCUAUAGAGAUUAGAGCCCUAAUGUUGAAGUAGUAAAGUAUUGGAGCACUGAUCUGAUGGCAAGCAUGGCAGCAUGGAGUUGCUAGUAUUAUAUAUGGCACUAUGGAGCUACAAAAUCUGUGGUCUUCGACAAAGGCAAGCACAGGAAAGCAUGGAGGAUGAAUUUUUGUAAAUUAUAUGGAAUGUUAGAUGUAAAACAUUUGUAUAUUAUGGCACUAUUUUCUUUUUUGAAUUAUUUUUAUUAUUGUUUGUUUUGGCCUAAAAUUGAAAUUUAUUAUUUCGAUUAUAUAAUUUUUUUGAGUUAUAAUUAUUUGAGAACGAAUACAGAAACAGAUUUCGACUUUUUUUUUAAUUAUUAUUAUCAAAGGUGGUGUCGGUUUAAACCGUCACUAGUUUGCAUAUUUUAUUUAUUUAAUUGUUCUCUAACGUCGCUUUAAACCGUCACUAGUUUGCAUAUUUUAUUUAGUUAAUUGUUAACUAGCGUCGCUUUAAACCGACGUUAACAUCAGCGUCGCUUUAAACCGACGUUAACAUCAGCGUCGCUUUAAACCGACGCUGUGUAGUGGCGGAUUAAGCGAACAAAGCGACGCUGAAGCCCUUUAGUGACGGUAGCAAUGGCGUCGCUAUUCCAAUCCGACAUUGCAGUGUUUAAUGUCGGAUUUUUGCCAAAUUUCCGACAGAAAUCGGGGUUUCUUGUCGGUUUUGGGUCCGCCGGUGAUAGCCUAUAUUGUAGUAGUGAUAGUCCUUCCAUAGCAUCUCACAUCUCCCAUCUGGAGACAAUUUUUUAGAUUCUUUCCACACACAGCUUGAAGGGUAAGCUCAGCAAGUGUUCAUUCGGCAAGGAGCAAGUUGAAUAUUUGGGACAUACUAUUUCAGGAAAGGGUGUUGCAGUAGAUCCUUCAAAAAUCAAGGCCAUCAGAGAAUGGCCACAGCCAACAUCACUUAAGAGCCUUCGUGGUGUCCUCGGGUUAACGGGUUACUACCGGAAAUUUGUGAAGCAUUAUGGCCUCAUUGCCAAGCCCUUAACGAACAUGUUGAAACAAGGCAAUUUCUCAUGGUCCACAGAUUCAAUAAAGGCUUUCGAAGCAUUGAAGAAUAUGUUAGCGACCACCCCAGUGCUUGCCCUACCAGAUUUCUCCAAACAAUUCGUCAUCGAAACGGACGCAGCAGACACUGGUAUUGGCGCUGUUCUAAGCCAAGAGGGUCAUCCUAUUGCUUACCUUAGCAAAGCACUUUCCGACCGUACACUUGGAUUGUCAACUUACGACAAAGAAAUGCUAGCAAUAGUUUUUGCAGUCCAACACUGGCGACCAUACCUCCUGGGGCAACAUUUCCGCAUCGUCACGGAUCACCAACCAAUCAAACAUUUCUUAGAGCAACGAAUUACCACUCCACAACAGCACCAAUGGUUGGUCAAGCUGCUCGGGUACAAUUACUCCGUCGAGUAUCGGCCGGGUUCUCUGAAUAAGGGCCCUGAUGCACUCUCCCGCCAACAUGAUCUCCUGCUGUUAAUGGGCCUCUCCACACCCAUAUUUGAUUGUAUCCCACAGCUGCAACAAGCAUAUGCCCAGGACCCGGAAGUGCAAAAGGUUUGGCACUUAUUACCUUCGGUAACAAAUACCCCAAUCAAAGGGUUCUCUCUUAUCAACAACGUGCUGCACUACAAACAAAGAGUUUUUGUUCCCCUCACUUCACAUUGGAGACCCAAGCUCCUGGCCGAAUUCCAUGCCACUCUUCAAGGGGGCCACUCCGGUUUCCUUCGUACUUACAAACGACUCUCCAGAAAUUUUUUAUGGCCUGGAAUAAGGAAAGAAACAAAGAAGUUCGUGGCCGAAUGCAUAGAGUGCCAACGCCAAAACAUUGAAAACAUUCACCCUCCGAGCUUGCUCCAACCCCUGCCAAUCCAGGAGGCAUAUGGCAAGAUAUAACACUUGACUUUGUUGAAGGACUGCCUCCUUCCAACGGUUACACUGUGAUUCUUGUCGUGGUGGAUCGUCUAUCAAAGUACGGCCACUUCAUUCCACUUAAGCACCCUUACACAGCAGCUUUGGUAGCCGACAUUUUUAUUAAGGAAGUUUUCAAACUCCAUGGCAUGCCCAAGUCGAUCGUUUCGGAUCGUGACCCCAUCUUCAUGAGCAACUUUUGGCAAGAGUUCUUUCAUCUUCAGGGCAGCAAACUUUGCACUAGUUCGGCAUACAACCCACAAACAGAUGGCCAAACUGAAGUCCUUAACCGCACCUUGGAACAUUAUCUCCGUUGCUUCUCAGCGGAUAAACCCACCAAAUGGUUUUCUCUCAUUCCCUGGGCCGAAUGGUGAUAUAACACAAGCUUCCAAUCUGCAAUUAAAAUGUCUCCAUACCAGGCGGUUUAUGGCAUUGAACCACCAACCAUUCAGAUGUACAUGGCCGGUUCCACAGCUGUCCACUCGGUUGAUGAGGCAUUACAAGACAGAGACAAGUUACUACGUCUUUUGCGCACCAACCUGCAGCUAGCCCAACACAGAAUGAAACAAGUCUAUGAUCAUAAACGAACUGAGCGAGAGUUUAACGUCGGUGAUUGGGUCUAUCUGAAACUUCAACCAUACCGGCAACACUCGGUGGCUAAUCGCCCAUCUAACAAGCUAGCACCCAAGUUCUAUGGACCAUUUCAGAUUACAAAGCGUAUCGGCCGGGUUGCAUAUCAACUUCGAUUACCCCCCGACUCCAAACUCCACCCUGUUUUCCAUGUAUCCCUCCUCAAACCUCAAAUCGGCAAUGCUCAUUCUCCACUGGCAGAUUUACCUCCUAUUGAUUCCACAGGGGUAUUGCAUUGGCAACCAGAAAUGGUCUUGGAUCGGGGCAUCUUCAAGAAGAAAAACAGAGCAGUGACAAAGUGGCUAAUUAAAUGGGUUGGCAUACCCACCAACGAUGCCACUUGGGAGGAAGCGGACGAGAUCUUGGCCCGUUACCCAGAUUUCUUGGCCUGAGGACAGGCCUGCUCUUACGGGGGAGGAGUUGUUGAGCCCAACUACUGGAAGCCCGAGCCCAAUACUCUCUUACGGGGGCCGUACCUGAUCCAUCUUUUGGUCCAUAUAGAGCUAGGGUUACUUAUCUUCAAAAUAUAAACUAGAAAUUAGGCCUGCGCAUUGCCACAGGAACCAACUGUUUCAAGCGUAAUCGGAUGAAUAAAACACAUUUAAGUUGAAUAAAUUCAACACAAUUAUGAACAAAGAAAGGAAUAAAUGAGUGAAUAAGAUCAAUAAGAUAAGCAGUUUUGUUUUUAUACAUUCAAGUGAGCUGACACAUAAACACAUUGUACAAUGAGUAGGAAGAAAUUGAACAUUUUGAUUAGGAAGAGAUGGUUACCCAAAAAGUUCUGUUUCCUUAAGAAACAGAACAAACAUGUAGUUCACACAUCUAAUAUGUGUCCUGCAGUGUAGGCAACCAUUUCAACUGGUAAUUAAAAACAGAAAGUGUUGAUGACUUGUUUAAGUAGCUAAUUUUGUAACCACAACUGUUCAAACGCAAAAAUAAGCAGAAGGUCUGUUUCCAUACGAAACUGAAGAAACAGAAGCAAGCUGCAGUUCACACAUAUUUUGCCCCUGCAGUUAAGACGGCAAAAUAUAUGCCCUGCAGCCUACAUACCUCACUUAGCAAUUAGCAAAACACAGAAAAAGCGGUGCUUGAGCAGGUAAGUCGUCAAGCACAGAUGUUCAAACAAUAACUGUGUUCACUUAUCCAUAUUAUAUUUGAAUAUGAAUGAGGAUAAAUGGUUGAUACUCGUAACUGUGUUCACUUAUCCAUAAUAAAUUUUAAAAGGAUGAAACUUUUAAUUACCAAUAAACCAAUAAUGAAUACUGAUUAUUGAAAACAAAUAACGCAAAAAUACCAGUCAAUCUAUUAAAUAAAACCAACCCAUACUCUGACAACAAAAAAGGUAAAACUACAUAGGUUAAAGGUCAGUCCUUUGCAAAACCAACAAUUGCAUAUAGCAAAAAAUGAAAUAAAAACAAAAUCUAACAACCAAAAAAUAUGUCUGUAUGCAGUAGCAAUCAUGUAAGAGUUUAUUCAUCGGCUAAAAUUCGAAAUUUCAGAUUGACCAAUUACACCAUUUCUAUAAAAUUUCAGUUAUGGCAUUAGUAUUGAGCAAAAUUAAUAUGUUAGAACAGAAACAAUUUCUUACAUAUGUCAACAAUCCAUAAAAAGGGGUCCUUAUUCAACAAUAAAUAUUUUUUUUAUACCAAAAACAAAGCAAUGAAAUAAAUGUUUUACUUUGAAAUUUCAAAUAGACUUUAGUUCAGACAUUAACAAUUUCCAUGGAAUUUCUCUUGUGUUUACAUAGAGAGCAAAGCGAGAGAGCUCUCCAGAUUUUGAGCAAAAUCCCCCUAAACUACGAUUAGAUAGCUCAAGCUGGGAUACAUGUAAACAAAUUCAAAGCUCAAGACCUGAAACUGAGCUCAAAAACUGGAAAUCUCACUUCAAUUAAGCAGUUUUUCAGAUGUUUACAGCUUAAAUAUGCAUGAUAACAAAAAAGAAGCAUCCUUUCUUGACCAAUCAGACACUACCAGAAAAGCCCUAAUUCAUAUUAUUCAGAUUACAAAUACACAGGAGACCAAAUAGCUAAUAAAGCUAGACACUUUGACCCCAAUCCAACACAAAAAUUGUCGUGGUUAUACAUGCGAUACCUACCUAAAAUAUCAACAAUUCCAAAUUAAAUUGGAAAAUGAAAUGAAGCAACAUAGAUUGAAUACAAUUUGGGGAAAAUUAUCUCACCUGGAGCUCCGAAUUGGGCCGAAUCCAUUAGGUUUGGGGGGAGAGGAACACAGAGCUACUAUGAGAGAGAGAGAGAGAGAGAGAGAGAGAGCAUGCGUUGUCCUUUUCUUCUAUACAGCCACUGGACCGCAGUUCCUUCACAAAAAUUAUAUGCAUGUGUUAGUUUUUCAAGUUGUAGUCUUGCAAUCAAUUUAAUAAGCAUAAGUUCAAACAUUCAACGAAUAUAAAAUGAUAUAUAUACUAAAAAAAUGUUCCAUUUUUACAUGAACAACUAAGCAAAAGCAUUAUUACAACUAAGCAUUAUUACAACCAAGAAUCUAAGUUCAUAACCAACAACCAAUCAUCAAGAACAAACCCCAUCAAGCCCGAACCCAAAUACAAAUGCCACUAACAUAAUCACCCAAAAUUCACUACAGCAAACACAAAACCCACCCAAAAAUUAUCUUCAUAAAAAAUGCCACCAAAAACCUAUUAAGCCCGGUCAGUCGAUUAAGAACCUAUUUGAAUAAUUCAACUCAGCAGAUAGUCAGAUUGUUAGUUCAGGAGAAGAUUAUUGCCCAAUAAACAGGUAGAAUUAAAGUAUGAAUAUAUUCAGUUACUAUUACAGUAUCUUCAUUUGAGCAAAAUCCCCCUAAAUUUAGCAUCCACUGUUUUCAUUCAUUCAUAAAUUCAUUGCUAACAGCAAAAUAUAAUGAAAAAAUAAAAAAAAUAAGGUCAAAAAUGGACCAACAUGACCUCUUGCAUUCAAAAUUUUGAACCAAAAGUCAAAAAAUUGAUAUUUUGGAUUUCCAAUUUCAUAUCAUUUCAAGAAAAGAUCAAAAAACUAAAUUUUUAACAUUCCAAAAAACUGAAAAUCCAAUCUUUGGGAGAAAUCCAUGAGAGCAUGCACUUGUAUCAGUCAAAAUGUAUUCCUUACGUCAACAAAUUGGAUUAACCAAUGGAGCUAAUUAUUAUGUAAUUACACAUCUAGAGCUAUCAGCUAUGGCGAAUCUUUUAUCUUCAACCUUAAAUAUUACUCCCUUAAUUAGUGCUUCUUUUCAGAUCACAACAUUGGAUACGAUUAAUUAGGUGUUACAUCGAUGGUGAUUUGUGAGGACCACUAUGCUAAUAAAUUCUACAAUACAAUUUGAAGAUCUAAUUGCAACAACUCGAAACCCUAGCAAAACGAUCAAUCAAAUCAAGAAAGAGACCUCGAGCGAGGAUCAUUUUUCCUUGAAUAUGAAUCCGCAUCAUGUACUCAACUACGACAUAAAUCCCCAUAAAUCCAUUUUUGGAAAGUACUAAAACACCGAAAACAAAUAUAUGUGCGCGCACACACACACACACACACACACACACACACACAUAUAUAUAUAUAUAUAUAUAUCAAUAUGAAUAUGAGGCAUUGAAUGGUAAAUUGGAUGAGGAAGUCUAAAUAGACCGGUGGUGGCGAGUGGUGAGGAUGAGCUUCGUACCGACGCCAUGUUCUUGGGUUGCUUUCAGAACCUUAUCAGAUUCGAUUGGAUUCACAACCGCUGCUUUUUUGAUACUCUCGCCAAUAAUUCUAAUCACCAAUAACAUAGUUAUAUUUUCUCUGAGUCAUAUAGCAACACUCAUAGGGUAAUAGCAAAUGAACAUUGAUACAAAACUUGAAUUAGACAGGUAUAAUAUUAUUCUCCUUAAAAGAAUAACAAUUUGUACGAUCACACCUUUGACUUUGGUUGGGAGUGUGCUCUCUGUUACUUUCGCAUUGGAUUUUGCGGCCAAUUUCUGUGAAAAGUGAAAUAUAUUGCUUAAAGUGAUUACAUAUAUGUGGCUAUUAAAUUAAAACAAAAAGAGGUCGGGGGGUUUGUUAAUGGAUACCUCUCUUUUCUCGGCGCUUUCAUCACUUCUCAAGCUAGCAGAUGAUGGAGCGGCCUUAGCAGUAUGUUAGAUACCAUUAACCAAUCCCCAUGCUAAAAAUUUCUGUAAAAUGAAAUGCCUAAUUAGUACUAAAUAUCUCAUGUUAAGCAGAACAGAUGAAUCAUAUAAAUACAACAACCCAGAAUUAUGAUGUUAUACUCUUCAUCCACAUCAACUUAUUAUGAAAAAAUGCAUCUUAUUGCAAUGCACCAACAAAUACUCAAUCAACAUAACUGAAUCUACACAAUCAUAUAGUAUCAAUGCUUUCGUUCUCUACUAAUUAAUCAAUGCAACAUUUCAAAUUUCCUUUCCUCAUAUACGGUAAGUAUUCAAAGUCAUACCAUCCCAAUUCCACAUAAGAUAGUACACCUUCAGAGAGAUGCCAGCGGAUAGCCAAAAGCUGGGUUUCGUGUUACAGCAACGACACAUUCCACUGUUCAUGAAUCAUUGCAAAACAACACAAAGUUCUUAUGCCUACACUACAUUUACUAAAUCAAUUCAAAAUGGUCCUUACAGUAAAAAAAAAAAUUGCUCUAUAAGUAAUGCAUGGUGUCAACUAUAUCGAAUGUCAUUAUUAUGUGAGAAAAAAUAAAAACCCAGAAAUUAAAAGAAAUAACGCGGAAAUUCCAGAUCAAAGUGACAACUGAAGACGCCUAAAAAUACCAAUUUGGGAAAUCAUGACAGCAAGGAUCAACUGAGAACUCACUGAAAUCGAAUCCAAUGGUGAGAACGAAGGAAAUAUUAUACAAUAAAUACAGAAACAGAAUUUCCUACAACAAAUAAUAAGAUUCCAGAGUCGCACCAAUGGAAACGUAAAUCACCAUAUAUAAGUAGACAAAGUUUCUAGCAAUAUAUACAAAAACCUCUAAAAAAAUCUACCUAAACUCAAAAAGGAGCAAUUCCAUUUCCUUACAUGGUGCGACACACAGUGGGUUUCACAGCUAUUAAUCAAAAUACGCAACACGAAAGCCUGUUUGAGUUAGAACACUAUAACGUGAAAUCCACACACUGUGGGUUUCACCAAGGUCCACAUAUCCAAUCCAAACUACAUGGCUAAUAUUCAAUAACAUGUCCAAUCUUUAAGCCCAUUUACCAAACAGAUUUAGAACACUAUAGAAUCUACUUAGUAGCAGAAGCAAACACCAGGAAAUUAUGAAGAAGCACAUAAAUGAGCAUAGUGAAACCAAAAAAUUCGAAUGAUGGUUUUAACAAAGCAACAACAACAACAACAACAACAACAAAGCCUUUUCCCACUAAGUGGGGUCGGCUAUAUGAAUCCUAGAACGCCAUUGCGCUCGGUUUUGUGUCAUGUCCUCCGUUAGGUCCAAGUACUCUAAGCCUUUUCUUAGAGUGUCUUCCAAAGUUUUCCUAGGUCUUCCUCUACCCCUUCGGCCCUGUACCUCUGUCCCGUAGUCACAUCUUCGAACCGGAGCGUCAGUCGGCCUUCUUUGCACAUGUCCAAAUCACCGGAACCGAUUUUCUCUCAUCUUUCCUUCAAUUUCGGCUACUCCUACUUUACCUCGGAUAUCCUCAUUCUCAAUCUUAUCCUUUCUCGUGUGCCCACACAUCCCACGAAGCAUCCUCAUCUCCGCUACACCCAUUUUGUGUACGUGUUGAUGUUUACGGUCACACAACACGCCGGAUGCACUCUUACACUUCAUCCAUCCAGCUCGUAUUCUAUGGUUGAGAUCUCCAUCUAAUUCUCCGUUCUCUUGCAAGAUAGAUCCUAGGUAGCGAAAACGGUCGCUUUUUGUGAUCUUCGCUAGAUUGCUCCGGUCAUUAGUGUGGAUAAGUAUAUAAAUGGAUAGAGAUAGGAAAGCAAACACAAGAUGUACGUGGUUCACCCAGAUUGGCUACGUCCACGGAAUAGAAGAGUUCUCAUUAAUUGUGAAGGGUUUACACAAUUACAUAGGUUUAAGCUCUCCUUUAGUGAGUACAAGUGAAUGAUUUAGUACAACUGACAUUAGAGUACAAAUGACAUUAGGAAAUAUUGUGGGAGAAUGAUCUCGUAAUCACGAAACUUCUAAGUAUCGGAGUGUGGUAUCAUCUUGACUUGCCUUAUCUGUCUCAUAGGUAGAUGUGGCAGCUUCUCUGGAAGUACUCUUCCUCCAUCCAGGGGUGGUAUCUUUAACUGGUGGAGAUGCACAAGGUAAUGUAUCAAUUUCACUUGAAGCUUACUUGUAGUUUCAGGCUUGGUCAAGCGCGAUACAAACCAUGUAGUAGGAGUCCCCCAAGUCGCCGAGCUAGGGCAUCUGCUGAAAGAGGUGACAAACAAGGUAAGCAAUCAGAGCUCCGGCUGAUUUUUCACCUUCUCCCCAUCUUGCAGCAGCAUGAAGGAUAAAGAGAAGAAAAAUGAGAAGAGAUGAUAUGGGAUACUUUUGCUUUUGAAGAAGUAGCUUUCCACAGGCUUAUUCUUGAACUGAGCUGGAGGGUUUUCUGGUUUCCUCCAGAGUAUAAGGCCGACUGAAGAAUUUGAGGGUCAAAACAAGUCCAUCAAAUCUAGAGUACGUUCGACCCUGCUGAUAUGGGAUACUUUUGCUUUUGACAGAGUAAUGGAUGUAUAGGCACGUGUGCUGUUACGCUUGUCUCCACAUGCUUCCUUGUAUCCUUCGCACUUGCCCUAUCUGUUCCUCAAGCAGAUGCGGUAUCUUCCCUGGAAACAUAAGAUGUUGAAGAUGAGUACUCGAGAGCAAUGCCAGGUAAGUAAUCAGGUAAGGGGUUCCAGGCAGUCAGUUCCUGGUUGGGAGCUUGAUUUCAAGUGCUGACUGAUUGCUCUAUUUCUCCUUGUCUUGCAGGUAAAAACAAAGCUAAAGGAAAAGACAGGGAAAAAGCAUGAUAUGGGAUACUCUUGCUUUUAACCCUGAUGAUAUGAGAUAUUCUUGCUCUAGUAUAGCUUGUUUGCAGAGGUAUUAUCGGGGGGAAAGAAAGCUGAAUAUUUCGAAAGGCUUCGUUGGGAGUGCCCUCUCAGAUAUGAGGAAGGGUUAAGCAUUUUUGCAGGUCUGCCUGUCCGUUGGGGAUGGAGGUCGACAUAUAUAGGAGUCUCUCUAACAAGUAGUAAUGUUAUUCCUUUACCCUGCUUGGUCACAGCACGGUAGUGGGAGCUGCCAGCUUCACAUGUUUUAACUCUGUCAGAGCACUUUGAAAAAGUGGCAUUAGGUAUCUGGCUCUCGAGAUUCGGAGAACGAUGCUUCUUCGAUUUUUGAGAAAGCAAUCAUGCUGGGGGUCUGGCUCUCGAGAUUCGGGGAGCAGUGUCUCUUCGAUUUUUGAGAAAGUAAUCAUGUUGGGAGUCUGGCUCUCGAGAUUCGGAGGACGGUGCCUCUUCGAUUUUGGAGUAAGCAAUCUUGUUGGGAGUGUUUUCUCGGAUGUGAGUAAAGGUUGGGCAUGUUUGCUACUCUACCUUGCCACGAAGCACAGAGGUUGACACACAGGGACUUUCCAAUUAUCCAGCAGUGGUACUGUUCCUUUACCCUUGUGGGUAAUAAUAUGGUAGCUAGACCUUCAAAAUUUAUGUGUCUAAACUUUGUUAGUGCUGUUUCUUUUACCUUUCUUGGUCAGAGCGAUGUAGUGGGAGCUGCAAGCUUCACGUGCUCAACUUUGGCAGAGACUUUGGCAAAGUUAUCUGUGGUACCCAUGAGCUAUUGUUGCGUGUGGGAAGUGGGUGAUUGAACAGUAAGAUUCAUGUGCUUUCGACUUCACCAGAAGUCUUCGACAGAAUGCCCAUAAUUUCCGCAAAGCUGAGUGUGCGUGUGACACGUGCUGACAAGGCUAGAAAAGUAGGUACCUCUUCGAUUUCUGAGAUCGGCCCUCGUGAUCUCUGAGCAGCCCAACUUUUGAGAAAGCGAGCGCCUCUUCGAUUGAUUCGGAGAACGAUGCCUCUUCGAUUUUUGAGAAAGCAAUCAUGCUGGGGGUCUGGCUCUCGAGAUUCGGGGAGCAGUGUCUCUUCGAUUUUUGAGAAAGUAAUCAUGUUGGGAGUCUGGCUCUCGAGAUUCGGAGGGCGGUGCCUCUUCGAUUUUGGAGCAAGCAAUCUUGUUGGAAGUGUUUUCUCGAAUGUGAGUAAAGGUUGGGCAUGUUUGCUAGUCUACCUUGCCACGAAGCACAGAGGUUGACACACAGGGACUUUCCAAUUAUCCAGCAAUGGUACUGUUCAUUUACCCUCUCUUCGAUUUUUGAUAAAGUAGUCAUGUUGGGAGUCUGGCUCUCGAGAUUCGGAGGACGGUGCCUCUUCGAUUUUGGAGCAAGCAAUCUUAUUGGGAGUGUUUUCUCGAAAUGUGAGUAAAGGUUGGGCAUGUUUGCUAGUCUACCUUGCCACAAGGCACAAAGGUUGACACACAGGGACUUUCCAAUUAUCUAGCAGUGGUACUGUUCCUUUACCCUUGUUGUGGGUAAUAAUAUGGUAGCUAGACCUUCAAAAUUUAUGGGUCUAAACUUUGUUAGUGCUGUUUCUUUGCUAUACUUUUACCCUUCUUGGUCAGAGCGAUGUAGUGGGAGCUGCAAGCUUCACGUGCUCAACUUUGGCAGAGAACUUUGGCAAAGUUAUCUGUGGUACCCAUGAGCUAUUGUUGCGUGUGGGAAGUGGGUGAUUGGACAGUAAGAUUCAUGUGUUUUCUACUUCCCCAGAAGUCUUCGACAGAAUACCCAUAAUUUCCGCAAAGCUGAGUGUGCGUGUGACAGGUGCUGACAAGGCUGGAAAAGUAGGUGCCUCUUCGAUUUCUGAGAUCGGCCCUCGUGGUCUCUGAGGAACCCAGCUUUUGAGAAAGCGAGCGCCUCUUCGAUUUCUGAGAUCGGCUUUCAUGGUCUUUGAGCAGCCCAAAUUUUGAGAAAGCAAACACCUCUUCGAUUUAUGAGAUUACCCUCGUGGUCUCUAAGCAGCCCAGCUUUUGAGAAAGCAAACGCCUUUUCGAUUUCUGAGCAGGCGCCUCUUCGAUGUCUGAAGCUCCGUCGAGUGCAGCUUUUUAUAGGGGCUGGCAUUAAGUUCCAAAGCACACUUGAAUCUCCACCAGUAGAAGCUCCAUUCUUGCACUUCUAAGAUCUUGAUUUGUCCGACUUCUUCUCUCUUCAACACCUUUGAAAAUGUCUGGCCCCUCCGACUGUCGUUUUGACUUGAACCUUGUUGAAGAGGCAGCCCCGCCUUCUCCAGACAACAUAUGGCGCCCAUCCUUCGUCUCCCCUACUGGUCCUCUUACCAUUGGGGAUUCCGUGAUGAAGAAUGAUAUGACCACUGCGGUGGUGGCCAGGAACCUUCUCACUCCCAAAGAUAACAGGCUACUUUCCAAACGGUCUGAUGAGUUAGCUGUUAAGGAUUCGCUGGCUCUCAGUGUUCAGUGUGCAGGUUCUGUGUCUAAUAUGGCCCAACGCCUAUUUGCUCGAACCCGCCAAGUUGAAUCAUUGGCGGCUGAAGUGAUGAGUCUCAAACAGGAGAUUAGAGGGCUCAAGCAUGAGAAUAAACAGUUGCACCGGCUCGCACAUGACUAUGCUACAAACAUGAAGAGGAAGCUUGACCAGAUGAAGGAAACUGAUGGUCAGGUUUUACUUGAUCAUCAGAGAUUUGUGGGUUUGUUCCAAAGGCAUUUAUUGCCUUCGUCUUCUGGGGCUGUACCGCGUAAUGAAGCUCCAAAUGAUCAACCUCUGAUGCCUCCUCCUUCUAGGGUUCUGUCCAGUACUGAGGCUCCGAAUGAUCCCCCUUCGGUGCCUUCUCUUUCUGGGGCUCUACCGACUGCUGAGACUUCUCCUAAGCAACCUUUGUGAAGGCUCCUCUUGUUUGUUUAUUUUGACUCAUGUAUAUGUACAUAUUUGAAGCUUAUCGGGGAUAUCAAUAAAUAAGCUUUCCUUCAUUUCAACGUAUUGUGUUAAAUACACCAAAGCCUUCUUCGCUAAGUUCUUUGAAUUUUCUUUUGUUGAAGCUUGUAUGUUGAAGCUUUCUGAGUGGAGCAUGUAGGUUGGGGUAGUGUUCCCUUAAUUUUCCCUGAGUGAGGAAAACUUCUCGGUUGGAGACUUGGAAAAUCCAAGUCACUGAGUGGGAUCGGCUAUAUGAAUCUUAGAACGCCAUUGUGCUCGGUCCUGUGUCAUGUCCUUCGUUAGAUCCAAGUACUCUAAGUCUUUUUCUUAGAGUCUCUUCCAAAGUUUUCCUAGGUCUUCUUCCUCUACCCCUUCGGCCCUGAACCUUUGUCCCAUAGUCGCAUCUUCUAAUCGGAGCGUCAGUAGGCCUUCUUUGCACAUGUCCAAACCACCAUAACCGAUUUUCUCUCAUCUUUCCUUCAAUUUUGGCUACUCCUACUUUACCCCGGAUAUCCUCAUUCCUAAUCUUAUCCUUUCUCGUGUGCCCACACAUCCAACGAAGCAUCCUCAUCUCCGCUACACCCAUUUUGUGUACGUGUUGAUGCUUCACCGCCCAACAUUCUGUGCCAUACAGCAUCGCCGGCCUUAUUGCCGUCCUAUAAAAUUUUCCCUUGAGCUUCAGUGGCAUACGACGGUCACACAACACACCAGAUGCACUCUUCCACUUCAUCCAUCUAGCUUGUAUUCUAUGGUUGAGAUCUCCAUCUAAUUCUCCGUUCUUUUGCAAGAUAGAUCCUAGGUAACGAAAACGGUCGCUCUUUGGUAUUUCUUGAUCUCCGAUCCUCACCCCUAACUCGUUUUGGCCUCCAUUUGCACUGAACUUGCACUCCAUAUAUUCUGUCUUUGAUCGGCUUAGGCGAAGACCUUUAGAUUCCAACACUUCUCUCCAAAGGUUAAGCUUUGCAUUUACCCCUUCCUGAGUUUUAUCUAUCAACACUAUAUCGUCUGCGAAAAGCAUACACCAAGGAAUAUCAUCUUGAAUAUGUCCUGUUAACUCAUCCAUUACCAACGCAAAAAGGUAAGGACUUAAGGAUGAGCCUUGAUGUAAUCCUACAGUUAUGGGAAAGCUUUCGGUUUGUCCUUCAUGAGUUCUUACGGCAGUCUUUGCUCCUUCAUACAUAUCCUUUAUAGCUUGGAUAUAUGCUACUCGUACUCCUUUCUUCUCUAAAAUCCUCCAAAGAAUGUCUCUUGGGACCCUAUCAUACGCUUUUUCCAAAUCUAUAAAGACCAUGUGUAAAUCCUUUUUCCCAUCUCUAUAUCUUUCCAUCAAUCUUCGUAAGAGAUAGAUUGCCUCCAUGGUUGAGCGCCCUGGCAUGAACCCGAAUUGGUUGUCCGAAACCCGUGUCUCUUGCCUCAAUCUAUGCUCAAUGACUCUCUCCCAGAGCUUCAUUGUAUGACUCAUUAACUUAAUACCCCUAUAGUUCAUGCAAUUUUGUACGUCGCCCUUAUUCUUGUAGAUAGGCACCAAAGUGCUCGUUCGCCACUCAUUUGGCAUCUUCUUCGUUUUCAAAAUCCUAUUGAAAAGGUCAGUGAGCCAUGUUAUACCUGUCUCUCCCAAAACUUUCCACACUUCGAUUGGUAUAUCGUCUGGGCCUAUUGCUUUUCUAUGCUUCAUCUUCUUCAAAGCUACAACCACUUCUUCCUUCCGGAUUCGACGAUAAAAAGAGUAGUUUCUACACUCUUCUGAGUUACUCAACUCCCCUAAAGAAGCACUCCUUUCAUGUCCUUUAUUGAAAAGAUUAUGAAAAUAACCUCUCCAUCUGUCUUUAACCGCGUUCUCUGUAGCAAGAACCUUUCCAUCCUCAUCCUUGAUGCACCUCACUUGGUUUAGGUCCCUUGUCUUCUUUUCCCUUGCUCUAGCUAGUUUAUAGAUAUCCAACUCUCCUUCUUUGGUAUCUAGUCGUUUAUACAUAUCGUCGUAAGCCGCUAACUUAGCUUCUCUGACAACUUUCUUCGCCUCUUGCUUCGCUUUUCUAUACCUUUCAUCAUUUUCAUCGGUCCUCUCCUUGUAUAAGGCUUUACAACAUUCCUUCUUAGCCUUCACCUUUGUUUGUACCUCCUCAUUCCACCACCAAGAUUCCUUUUGGUGUGGGGCAAAGCCCUUGGACUCUCCUAAUACCUCUUUUGCUACAUUUCGGAUACAACUAGCCAUGGAAUCCCACAUUUGGCUAGCUUCCCCCUCUCUAUCCCACACACAUUGGGUGAUUACCUUCUCUUUGAAAAUGGCUUGUUUUUCUUCUUUUAGAUUCCACCAUCUAGUCCUUGGGCACUUCCAAGUCUUGUUCUUUUGUCUCACUCUUUUGAUAUGUACAUCCAUCACCAACAAGCGAUGUUGAUUAGCCACGCUCUCUCCUGGUAUAACUUUGCAAUCCUUACAAGUUAUACGAUCCCCUUUCCUCAUUAGAAGAAAAUCUAUUUGUGUUUUUGACGACCCACUCUUGUAGGUGAUCACAUGUUCUUCUCUCUUCUUAAAGAAGGUGUUGGCUAAGAAGAGAUCAUAUGCCAUUGCAAAAUCCAAGAUAGCUUCCCCAUCCUCGUUUCUCUCCCCAAAACCAUGGCCACCAUGAAAACCUCCAUAGUUGCCUGUCUCCCUGCCCACGUGUCCAUUUAAAUCUCCUCCUAUAAAUAACUUCUCCGUCUGAGCAAUUCCUUGCACCAAGUCUCCAAGGUCUUCCCAAAAUUUCUCCUUCGACCUCGUAUCCAACCCUACUUGAGGUGCGUACGCACUAAUCACAUUGAUAAGUUCUUGUCCUAUUACAAUCUUGAUUGCCAUGAUUCUAUCUCCUACCCUCUUGACAUCUACAACAUCUUGCGUCAAGGUCUUAUCCACGAUGAUGCCAACACCGUUUCUCGUUCUAUUUGUGCCCGAAUACCAAAGUUUAAACCCUGAGUUUUCUAGAUCCUUUGCCUUACUACCAACCCACUUAGUUUCUUGUAGGCACAUAAUAUUUAUCCUUCUCCUCACCAUAACUUCCACUACUUCCAUAGAUUUUCCCGUUAAGGUUCCUAUAUUCCACGUUCCUAAACGCAUUUUGCUCUCUUGAACUCUACCCUUCUGUCCUAGCUUCUUCACCCUCCCCCGUCUAAUAGGAUCAAAGUACUUCUUGUGUGUGUCCCGUGUAAAGUUGAUAGGAGCAUAUGCUCCCAAACAACUUUGAGUGGAGUCGUUCGAAAAGAAGUUUCUACGGCCCCCUUGCUCAUUUAACACUGCAUCCGGGUGCCGAUGGAGAUACAGCGACCCUUGCUCACUUAUCACUGUGCUCGGGCCACACAGCGCGCCACUUACGGGUGACGCCCUAGCUUUAGCGCGAUUUUGUUCUAGAUUCAUUUUCAUAAGGAUUCGACGUGAUCAUGGAGUGCCGGCUGUCGACUACCUGACGCCCUCCCCCUCCUCCUUUAUCCGGGCUUGGGACCGGCCAUGUAAAAUUACAUAGGCGGAGUUGGUUUUAACAAAGCAAACGGAAAACAAAACAAUAAACAAUGAUUUUCAAACAGUGCAUAACCUGUUGAAUUAGAGGAAAAAACUGAAAACCCAUACCCUUCCAUACAUCCCUCUGUCAUUCUGUCCUCACUGACCCCGUGCACUAACCCAUUAAUUAACCCCAAAAAAUGCACACAACCAUGCUUUCUCCUCUCCCUCUCUCUAUCUCUAUCUCCCUGUCCACAUCUCUUUCAAAAAUGAUAAAUCCCCCAAAACCGGAUCUAACAUACUAAACAAUUCGAAAAUCUAAGCUACCAUUAAAGAAUAUAAUUUAAAAAACAAACUUGUCUUUGGAUUUGAGGCAUGCAUCGCAAGAUCCGGCACACCCCACUCUCAGUAAGGUUUGUUCAUGACCCCUACCCUGUCUCCCUGAAAUCCUGACGACCCAUACGGUCUUCUCUGACCAUACCCACUCUCCCACUUGUGAAAUCCAUCUGCAGCAACAGUGUCGAGACCUCUCUCUCUCUCUCGCAAACCCUCCAUCCCCGAAACCCUAGUUGAACGACAGCAAAUGAUACCUACCCGGUUACCCCCCAUCUCGCCCAAAACCGAUAGGACAAAAUUGCCCUUCCUAACUUUUACAUUAUAGAACAACGCAGCAAAAACUCAAGCAAGAAAAUGAACACAUACCAGUGAUUAUUUCCUCAUAGGUUAUUCCCAAUGUAAUAUGUUAGAUUGGAUAAUUUCCAGAAAUAAAAUAAACAUUCCGAAAGGUUCAGCUAAGUUUCUUGUUUCUCCAAAGAAAGUUACCUGUAAAUGAAGAACAUCUGCUAAUAGCAACCUCUUCAAGUGAGGGAAGGUAAGCAGUUGGGAUGGCGUUUGCCCGAAGUAUGCAAUCUGGUCCUGUGUUGCACGCUGUUGUACCUGAUUUUGGCACAGAGGAAAAAAGAAUGUACUGAAAAAAAUUAUCAAACAAUAAUGGAAAAAAUCAUACAGAUGCCAACAGAAACUACACUUACUGGGUCUGAGAUCUUAUCAAUAUCCACUGUCCCUUCAUAGGUAAUGUAAAAGAAAAAAUUAUUUGCCAUUAUAGCUUCUUUGCCACGCUGCUUAUACCUGUAUAUUCCAAUUUAUUAAUGAAUAUAACAGUUUCAAAAAUGAAACAUUCAAAGUUGAUAUAGUCUAGAGUUGUGAUGAACUUAUAAAAGAAAAAGUUAAAAAACAAAAUGAAAUGAAAGAAAAAGAGGUAGAUACAAACCAAAAAUAAACUAAAAUUAAAAAUCUCCAAAGUCCAAAGAAACCUACCCGAAUAUGAGAUCAAUCCAUUCAUGCAAAUGCGUAGAUGCAUGCUCACUUUCAAGAGCCCAAGUUGUUGAAAUACCAGCCACAACAAUCUUACCAUCAACCUCGUCCUGCAAGGAAAUGAAGUUAAACUUAAAACAGAUCAUUCUAGGAACACAUGUAACCUAAAAAUGUUAUGCAUUAAACUUGUGCUUCCAAGCAUAUAUUAUAGAUGACUUGUCCUGGAUGUUCUUCUUAUAUUAAAGAAACCAUCAUUAUUGUUGCGUACACCUUAAGCUGUGAUAGUAGCAUAUAUACAGCCCGAUAAGCAGGGUCUUCUGUGCUUUCCACGAUAAACAUAUACUCUAAGGGACCACCAUAGAGAGAAGUGACCUGUUUUCGUUAAUUAAACAAAAUAGUGCAGACCAUAUUGGAAGAAAACCUUGGAUACAAAUUCAACCUAUUAAAUCAGUUAGCAGGAGGAUUUUGAACACUUCACCAGAUAAGACAUCCCUACAGUGCAAAUACAGAAAUUUAGACAUGCCCACCAAAAGAAAAUAUAGCUUAACUAUGUUAAUCUAAUAUCACAAAGAUAUUGAGUUUCUGAGUCUCAGACCCAAUAGAGUGUAAUUUAAACUUCUUAUGAAGAAAAACCUAAUUUUCAACUCGAAAAUAAUACAAAAACAUGAUUGGCUUUGACCACUCUCAUUCCAAAUGUUCUAGCGUAGCCCCUGACUCAAGGGCUCACCAAAUGGGUUUUCGAUUUCUGAAUGAAAUUAGAAGCCUAAGUAAUGUUUGAUGGCAUAUUGAAUCAUCAAGAGCAGGAUUCAUAUGUCCCCUUCCUUGCACAGAACCUAAAUAUGAUCGAAAAAGAAUAAUGAAAACCUAAACGAAUUACAGAGGAACUGAUGGGUUUAUGCAUCAGCAAGAGGAAGAAAAAAACGACAUACCUUCCUGACGCCACCUCAACCCCUCGUGUUGUCCCCAUCACCUCGAUCUAAUCGAAUCAUAAAGGCUCGGCCCGACCCGACCGAAACGAAGCACAGCCUCUCUCGCCUCUUGAAAUCUGAAAUCCCCACCCCAAAAAACCACGCAUGGGCCUUCCUGACACAAAAGGUGGAGUAAGACGACACAGGCGAGAGAAGGGAGACGGCGGCGAGAGGAGGAUAGGACGGAGGCGAGACCGUCUGCGUCGUUCUCGCGGGGUCUGCAAGACGGAAGAGGCAAGGAGGGUUUGAAAAGGAAAUGGAAAAGGGCGGUUUUACCAUUGUUCUUCCCUUCCCCCGAUCAUCAACACAUGUACAUCAAGAUUAGCAGCAGAGAGAGGCUGGUAGAUUUGUAAAUAAGUUGAAAACACUGUUCAUUUCUACAGUGCCAUUUCCAUGCCUUCUUUAGACUAAAGUAAUAUGUAAUAUUGUGGACUGAGAGGAGGAAUGAAUGACUGAAUGAAACUUUCUACUUUUUCCCUUAUUCUUCUUUCCUUAUCUCCUUCAAUUUCUGCACUGUUUUCUAUUGAAGCUAACAUCUCAAGACACCCGAGCCCAUUAGUCGUAUCAUAACCAAACAAUCAAAACCCAAAAUAAAAAAAAUUCAUACAACAACAAUGCUUUCACAGAAAAAUCUCUAAAAAAAAACCCCACAAACCCCCUAAAAAAAAUCAAUCUGACUACCUCGCCCCUCUCCCUCCCAUCAGUCCCCUCCAAAUCCAUCGCAAUCGUGCACAGCUCAAUGCCAACACACCUGGCAAUCCAAAUACCCUUUGUAGUUUGGCUCCUAAAACAAAUCCACAAAAUCAGAUAGUCCUCUCUCCCAAAAAGCACUUAUUCCAAAAGCAAAAAAAAAAAAAAAACCAAAAUUGACUACACAAUCAAUUCCAAACUCAGAAACUAACCUUCCACCGUAAGCAUCCAUCUCCCUAAACUUAGUCCAAAACAAAUGAUUUAACAAAGUGCUUUUCCCUGCCAAAUCAAAAGACAUAAGCACCAAAACCAAAUUCACCAAAAACCUCAAAACUCAAACCAAAUUGAACAAAGUUUCAAAUUUUUACCGCUGCUCUGCGGACCCAUGAUUACAACAACCGCAUAGGAGAGUCCGCACUCGGUAAGCUUCACCUCCUUCACAAACCUGUCGAGCCCAUCUGCGUUAAAUUCUCGAUCGCCAUAGAUAAGUAAAUUCAAGAAAACAUCAAAACCCCAGAAAAAAAAAACAAAAUCUUUCAGAAAAAUCAAAGAAAUUCACUCCGGUAAUCAAUCAAUUAAGUACCUAAUUCCCUUGGAUGUCUUGAAUAAAUAUAACACUUCAAGAUAAAUUAACUACCCAAUAUUAAUUUUUCCUGUUUCUUUCUUCUUAUUCUCGGGAAAGAAUCAAACCCAAAAACAAUUAAUCGAAGAAAACAUACAGAAAAUAUUGGGGAGGAGUAACAUACAAUCUGUCGAGUUCUUCUUCGCUUUGCAGAUAAGAGAUGGUGGCUUCUCAUCGAGUUCAUGUAUGUAUUGCCCAGAGUGAGAUGAUGAGCGGGCGUGAGAGAAUAGGGCAGUGAGAGAGAGUCGGGAGAGAAAAAGAGGGAAAGAAAUGGGGAUGGAAACGGAUGGAAAUCUAGUGCCCGGAGUGAGAUGGAGAGCGAGACGAAGACAGAGAGAAGGAAAAGCUUGCGAGAGACAUGGAAGAGUGCCGAGGAGAGGAAGAUUAUGGUUUCAGUAGAUGAGAGAGGAAGUGAGAGAGAGAGGUGAAGAUGCAGUAAUUCCCUUCACAAAAUCAAACCCCCAUCCCUCAAUCACCGACAGCAGCCUUGAUUUGAGGAGGAAAAAUCAACCCUAAACCCUUUUUUGGUAGCUUCAGUGCCUCACUCCUCUCUCUCCCUUCCCCUCCCUCUCUCUGCAACCCAUGCUUUUUUGGCAGCAUCACUCCACGUAACCCAUCCCAAUCCGUCCCAAACCCUACGGGUCUUCUCUGACCAUACCGACUCUCCCACUUGUGAAAGCCAUCUGCAGCAACAGUGCCGAGACCUACCCAUCCCCCUCGCUCUCCUUCCAUCGCCAUCUCUCUCUCUCUCGCAGACCCUCCAUCCCCAAAACCCUAAUCAAACGGGUCACCCCCCAUCUCUCCCAAAAUCGAGAGGAUAAAAUUGCCCUUCCCAAUACACCAUCCCCACCAUCGGAUUGUAAUCUUAGAUGGGCAAAACUGUAAUUAAAUGAUUUGGGCCUGACUGAGGGCCAGGCUUCUCAGCUAAAACCAACUCAUUUGGGCCGGGCCUAGUACCGGGCUGCCGACCCAAAACCAACUCAAAGAGCAAUGACAUGGUUGUAAAUAAUCUGAAAUUCGGAUUGCAAUACUAUUCAUUUCUACAGUGCCAAUUGAGAACCUUUCUUUAGACUAAAGUAACUUGUCAAAUUAAAAAGCUAUGGUUCAACAAUCUGAACUUCACUUAUACCGAACAUUUUGGAAUAAUACUUACCUUCUAAUGCAGGGAAGAGAGAGAAUAAUCCAUACAAAGUCCUACUUAUUUCCAACUCCAACGCUAACCCUUCUGCAUCACCGUUGUAAAAAAAAACGUAUUAUAGUUUGAUCAAAUACUGCUAUGCAGUACUAUAGCUAUAUGAAACAGAGAUUUUUAUCACUUCUAAUUUGCAAAACUUUUGCUUACAUUCAGUUAGAAAAAGCUUAUUAUAUCAUACACAGAAUAUUGCAGAAGUUGUCAAAUAAUUACCAUCUAAACAUUGAGAAUAACCCACAUCCACAUCGCACAAAAUUUUAUAGAAAAGGGGACAAAGAGAUGAGUGACCAAACCAAUAUGAUGCAAUCGAAUCCCCUUGUAGGCUGCUGAGAGAUAAAUAAAUGGCGUUGCCAGAAAGAUUAAAUGCAUUCUUCAAAGUAUAUAGUGGUUGUUUGGGUGGAAGACGGUUCGAAUGGACUAAUUUUCAAUCAAACGGAUUUAUAAAUGAAAGAACAGAGUUCAGAUAACGAAAUGCAACAUGGUAAAAUUCAAGAUCACGAUUCAGAGGAUUUGAACAAUAUUGUGUUGAAAACUCACCAAAGAGUGACGGUUCCAGGGCAGUAAUGGUUAGGGUUCUUGACUCCUCCAGUUGUGAGUGCAGAUUUUAUUGCAGCCUAUACAAAAUUAAAACAAUUAGCAACUUAGAUCCAAUAAUCUGAUUGUUUCUAGGGAAAAUUCGCUUGCAAUUAUUAAAUCUAAUUUUAUAGACAUUAGAAACCCAAACGAAACGCACCUUGGUGGCAAGUACCUUCCCUUUCUACAAUUAUUUUCCUAGAAAAAAAAAUCACAUGCAUAUUUAUACACAUAAAAGGUUGCAAUGAAAAAUACGAAGAAAUGAUCUGCUGACGAAACAAAAAAAAUUAAAUACUUCACUUAAAAGGAAAGUUAACUCCAGCGACAGAAUGAAAAUCUAUAUCUUCAACAUGAAAAUCAAUGGAAAAAUUAAAUACCUCACAAUAUAUGCAAUAUUUCAAUGAAUUAGAGACUUAAGACCUAUUAAAGUUGCUAUUCUUCAAAACACAGCAGCAUAAUCAUUCAAGUUGAUGCAUAUUUCAAUCAAAUUGAUGUAUAUUUCAAUCGAGCCUCAUUAAAAAUAGAAAAUACAGCAGCACAAAGCAUAACAAAAGCUUGGAAAUGGAAAAGGAACCUGCAAUUAGGUUUCUUUGAGAAGAAAAAAUGGCAGAACAGAGCCCAGAAUCACAAAGACAGAGACAGAGUGGAGUGAGUCGGAGGAUACAGCAAGACUGGACCUUUCUACCAGAGAAAACAAUAGACUGCCGAUGAACUAAACCACCUAAAAAAAUCUAUGACAACUUUAAAGAAGGAAAAAAAUAUCUAUGACAAUUUGAAGAAAGCAUAUGGAAAAUAAAUCCGUUAGCAAUUUAGAGAAAUUGGUGGACCAAAUCAUAUUAAAUUUAAGUUAAAUGAGCAAAGGUACACCAAUUAAAUGAGGUACACCAUAAAUAUUCAGACUUUUCUACCUUUUAGCUCUCUAAUUUACUUUCAAUAUACACGAACAAAGUUGAGGAUUCACUUUAUGAUAGCCAUCCAACCGAAAUCACACAAAAUCAACAAAUCAUUGACAAAAACACUCAUGGAGUUCUAAUUAAAUAUGGAAUUAUUGGAUCAUUUGCUUCUGUAUGUGGAAUGUGUUGAAAAACGCCCACACUAGACCUUGUUCUUUGAUGUAACCAACGGCAAUAGACUAAACUAGCAAAUAUAGAAAAUACUUAGAAACACACAAGAAUUAUACUGGUUCGGCAGAACUUAUGCCUACGUCCAGUUGUGAUUUCUCUUGGUAGAGAAAUCACCGCUCCUUUGAUUAAUAAUAGAGAUUACAAAACUUUUGCAAACCCUAGAACUAAUCUCUCUCUCUUGUCUUGGCUGUCACAGUUUUUCUCUCUUACAAUUUAAGACUUGCCGCACCCUAUUUAUAGGCAUAGGGUGCAAUUUACAUGUCCUUUACAGAUUAUAAUUCCUAUUCUAAGUGGAAUAGGAAAUUAGACUUCCUUUCCAAUUCCAAAUAGACUUCUAGGAUUUCUAAUCUAAAUUGAAUAAGGAAACUAAGAUUCUUUCCUAGCCCUUUUAGGAGAAGAAUUGGUGCACCCUUUUUUCCCUAAAACAAUCCUAAACAGAAAAGGACAUUAAUUGACGAGCCAAAACCUAACAAUCUCCACCUUGGUGAGUCAAACCAAGUCUUGAUCGUUUGCACCCCAGAGUAUCUUUGAACCUUUUUGAAGUAGCUCUGGAAAUCUUCAAGAGUCUUCACCUUGGCAAUCUUCUUCUUGCCUUGUUGCACCUCAAGUGAGAAGGUGUUCCACUUUAAUCAAUCAACGAGAUUGAUCAAGUUCAAGCAAUGCUUGAACUUCUUGGCCGGCACUAUCUUUGUAAGGAAAUCUGCGGCAUUGUCAUCCGUAUAAACCUUUUCAAUCCAAAUUUCCUUAGACUCCACCCAAUCUCUGAUUUUGUGAUACCUUGCUUCAAUGUGCUUUGAUCUUCCAGAAAAAACCUGAUUCUUUGCCAAGUGAAUGGCACUUUGACUAUCACACUUCAGCUUCACACAAUCUUGAGUGAUUCCCAUUUGACUUACCAAUCCACUAAGCCAAAUCGCUUCCUUUCCAGCUUCGGCAAAAGCAAUAUACUCUGCCUCUGUGGUCGACAAAGCUGUAAUUGGUUGCAGUAGUGCCCUCCAACUGAUUGGUCCUCCUGCGCAUGUAAACACAUAACCAGAAGUUGACCUUCUCUUGUCCAAGUCCCCUGCAUAAUCUGCAUCCACGUAUCCUAACACCCCUGCAUUUUCCUUUUGCUUCUCAAACAUAAUCCUUUGUCGCCAAUAACCCUUCAAAUAACGCAAAAUCCACUUGACUGCAUCCCAAUGUUGCUUUCCUGGAUUUGCCAUGUAUCUGGAAACGACACUGAUUGCUUGAGCUAUGUCGGGACGUGUGCAUACCAUUGCAUACAUGAGGCAGCCCACUGCAUUAGCAUAAGGCACAUUCUUCAUUACUUGUUGCUCUUCCUCGGACGUAGGACACUGUUGCCCACUUAACCUGAAGUGAGCUGCCAAAGGAGUCGAAACUACCUUUGCUUCUUGCAUGUUGAACUUCUCAAGAACCUUCUAAAUAUACUUGGCUUGUGAUAUCCAGAUCCUUCCAGCGGUCAUAUCUCUCUGAAUUUCCAUGCCAAGGAUCUUCUGUGCAGCACCUAGAUCCUUCAUGUCGAACUCCUCGCUCAACAUCUUUUUCAAGUCUUGAAUUCUAGACUUGUAUUGACAAGCAAUUAGCAUGUCAUCCACAUAUAGCAAUAGCAAUAUGAUCAUCCCAUCUUGGAACACAUGAUAGUACACACAACAGUCAUAUAAACAUCUUCUAAAAUUGAAUAAGGAAACUAAGAUUCUUUCCUAGCCCUUUUAGGAGAAGAAUUGGUGCACCCUUUUUUCCCUAAAACAAUCCUAAACAGAAAAAGACAUUAAUUGACGAGCCAAAACCUAACAGAAUGAAUUCCUUUUAUUUUAUUUUGAGAUAUAUAUAAAGUUUCAACAUAUCCAAUUCCAAUUAGCACAUAUCCAAAUUCCAAUUCAAUAAACCACACAUCCAAAUCAAUUCAAACUAAAUACUUAAUAUUCAAUCACAUAUCCAAUUCAAACUACAUGGCUAACAUUCAAUAACAUGUCCAAUCUUUAAGCACAUUUGCCAUAAAAAAGUUGCAUCCUUUUCACUGUAUUUUUUCAGACUUUAAUCACAUGAAUUUAAGCAACAAAAGAAGGAACCACAGGAAAGAGAAAAGUACCUUAAGACAUUCAAGGGUCGGAAAACUGGUUGAUUUGGACAGCCGGAAUCUGAGCUGAAAUGGAGGUCGGGUGGUCAGUUGUGGAGGUGUCUGGGUGUGUGCGUGCGUGUUGAGUAGAACUGCUUUUGUGCUUUAUGGCUGGUGGAUAUAGCAGACGAAAAAGAGAAAUAAAGGGAGGAAACAUUGUAUUACCUGUUCAAGCAAGGGAGGAAACACUUUGCAGCAACUUUAAAAGCAUGCUUGUUCAAAGGCAUAAGCUAUAAUAAAAAUCAAACAGAAAAAUUCAAUCUAUUUCUAACAACAGCAACCAUAAUUUCCUACUAAAAAUAACAUAUAUCAACAGAUUUGUUAGGAAACAAUUCACAACUAUGCUCAAUUCAUUCAAAAGUAGGAAAAAAUGGGGCACUUAAGCCACUAAUUGUAACAGCAGAAAGAAAAUUGAGCUACUAAUUUGAAAUGACAUGUUUGAUUCAAUGAAUAAGUAGAAAAAACAAUAGGAUUUUUAGCUGCCUCAUAUAAUCUUUUAUGCAAAGCCUUAAAAUGUUAUGCUCAAUUCAGUCGAAAGUUGGAAAAAAUGGGGUUUUUGCAAUGAAAUUGUCAUGUUUUGAUUCAAUAGUUUAGACCACAUGGACAAAAUUGAAAUUGCAUGCUUCAUUCAUUCAAAAGUAGGAAAAAAGCCAGAUUUUUAGUUGCUUUACAUAAAUAUUUUAUAGGAGGUGUUAAAAUGACAUGCUUAAUUCAUUUAAAAGUUGGGAAUUGGGAUUUUUUCAGUGAAAUUGUCAUGUUUUGGUUAAAUGUUUUAGGCAAAAUGGACAAAGAAGAAAGAAAACACACCAUUUGGUUAAAAGUAUUUUUUUUCCUUUUGAUUUUGGCCAAAACAAACGGUUCUGUCUAAACAAAGUGUUAAUGAUCUUCUUCCCCUGGUUUGGUACUUUGCAAAAUAGCACAAUGGUGCAACACCACUGCUCAAGCAUGAUUUCCGAAUGGGUAAUGCACAGCAGACUAGAAUUACAAAGAAAUUUUAACCUAACAUCAAAUUUACCCAAAUUCCAAUCAUUCCUCUGAUUUGUUCCAAAAAAUUACAAACACACUCUAAUCUAACACUUAUCAACGGGUUCCUAGACGUACAAAAAAACGAUGACAAAAACUCACCCAGAAAUUAAGCUACCAAUCUCUCAAGUACGUACUUGAUAAAAGUGAAGCAUAUACAAAUGUAAAAUAUGAAUGAAAUAUGCAACAAUUGUAUAAAAACAUGCAUAAAUGAUAAACCAAUAUUACAAACAUGUUAAAUAAACAGAAGGUAUAUAAUAAUAAAGAAGAAGAAGGAGAACGAAGUACUAAAAAUAGCAAGGAAAUUGUUUUUGGCGGAAGGAGAUUUACCCAAAAAAUAAGAGGACCGCCAGAGACUGCCAAAUUUGCGACUAAUCAACGAAGGAACCAAAAUGAAAAAUAUCCUCUCAGUGAGGAAAACCUAGCACAGGAUCAGAGCCAACCCAAAACAAAAUGGUUACAAUUUCAUCCAAAUCAAGCAAAACUCAAAAGAAAAACCAAACACAGCACAUACCACCGUUGAUCGCAACCCCAGAAAUUGUGCGAAGCAAUUUUACCACGGAGGACAAAACACCCAAAACCCUAGGUUUAUACAAAUGGAAAACCUAUUUCGGCAGAGAAGCUAUAACACUGAAAGACCAACACAACAGGAAGAAAAAGAGAAAUGAAGAGGAAGUGAUAUUAUCAGACAGUGAAGAAAGCAGCACAAAAUAUCUGUUUUGUUGUCCCAAUUUAAUAAUUUAAAAUCAAAUCUUGCACUCCUGACUAAAAGUUGAAGAACCGAACCAGAAUCAAACAGAAAAGAAAGCAGGAAAAAACAUGUUUCUAAGCAAGUUCAAACCAGAAACAGUGAAAUAAGGGAAAAUUCGGUUCAAAAGGGUCACUUAGCUUUGAAAGGAAUUCAAGCUGCCAGCUGGAACCAAAUCUCUGAAACCAACCCUAGGUUUAGGCGUCCCUUCUUGCCUCACCCCUACCUAUUGCUUUGUUCAUCCUACCCCUCCCUCUCUCCUCCAAUUUUUCCUUCUAGAAGUCCUCAUCUCUCUUCUCUCUGGCAUCGCACGACCCACCUCUCGUCUCUCUGCUAUCGGACGACUCAUCUCUCUCUUCUCUCUAGCAUCGCACCACACCUCCCCUCUCUUCUCACUGGCUUCAUUGCAGGCUAGGCCUGCCCGUGUCGGCCAUCCAUCUGAACAACCCAACCACAAACAAAACCCACCAACCCAGUCACACAGCCCAAACCCACAAAAGCCCAGGUGAAAUCCUUAGAGCAAUGACAUUAUUGUAAUUAAACUAACACUAUUCAUUUCUACUAGGGGUGGGCAAACGGGUAUAGGAACCGCGGGUCGGGGCGGGUAAUCACGGUUCGGGGCGGGUACGGGCCAGUUCCUAAUAUUUUAGAGAACAAAUGGGGCGGGGCGGGGCGGGCCCUUUUCAUUUACGGGGCGGGCCGAGUCCAGAUGCUUAGAAAAACGGGUACCCAGACCGGCCCGUUUCUAAUUAUAAUGAACGGCCGAGAUUGAAUGAUAACCUAUCAUCCCAUCUCAACCGUUGGUUUCUACCCUAGUUUCUACUCAAUUCAACUUUCCAGAAUUCACUAUGUCUCAGCUGCCUCUCUAUCUCCCACAAUCUCUCUCUCCCCGAACCUGUUUCUUCUUCUUCUUCUUCUUUAAGUUUUUAAUCCCAGCUAGGUUUUGCUAAUUUUCUCUGCAUUUUCGCUCAGAAGACUGUACCUGUGAGAGCGUCAUCUUCUCAACGUCGAGGAGGUAAAGGCUUUCGUCGAAGAUCGAUUGAGAGAGCUCCUGAGAGUUGAUUGAGUUUGCUUGAUGGGAUUUAAUUUUUCAGUUUUUUUUUUAAUCACCCGAAGUUAGAGAGAUAGGUUUUUGGGAAUUUGGCUGCUUUUUUGUGAGUUAUUUCCUGUGUGUGUUAAUAUUUGUGGAAAAAUGAUAGUGAAAUCUGGGAAAGGUGGCAAAUUUGGAGAUGAUGAGAUUGGAAUCUGAUUGUGGUGAAGGUAGAGAAAAAUGGGGUUUUUGUAAUUUGAUUGGGGAAUUUAGUUGCUUCAGAUUUGUCUGCCAUUUGAAAAAUUGGGUAUUGAAUAUUAAAAUGGUGUGUUUUGUUUUGUUCUCUUCCAUUAGGUAGUCGGAGAGCAGAUAGGGAUGCAGUCCGAGACGGAGCAGGUGCCACCAGAGUCGGAAAGAAUGGAGGCGUUGAUUGCGAGGAUGUAGGCCAUGGUGAGAAACGUGGUGUUGCCGAUGCGGGCCUCGGUGGUGAAAGUGGAGCUGCGCUCGAUGGAGAAGCUGUGGUGCGAUGACGAAGGCAGCAUGUCGGUGGUUCUGGAGUCCUUUCCGUAGCGGUUUCGUAAAAAAAAAAAAAAAAACCAAGGACUCGUGGACCCGGCCCAGACCUGCCCGUUUCAAACGGGCUGGGUUCAGUUUGAUUCCUGUAAUGAAAUAUGAUGUACCCGGCUUGGCUCGGCCCGUUUCUUUUAACCUUCAAUUCCUUCAAAAUUAGGCCUGGCCCGGCCCGUGCCCAGCCCUAAUUUCUACCGUGCCAUUUCCAUGCUUUCUUUAGACUAAAGUAAUUAGACACAUUAUUUUAUUAAAAACCCAGCCUAGUGAAAAUAGAGAAAAGCCCUACUCCCUAACCGCCGAGUCAUGAUGACUUUGGAUUUAGAGCCGUCCACGUGAAGCAACUUGAGGUUCAACCAUAAAAAUUAAAAGAAAACUAACGAAAAGUCCAAAAAAACUUCUCUUGUAAUGAAAAGCCCUUUUUAAAUGUAUAAUGAAUAGUGUCAGUUAAAGGUAAAAAUGUGGUUUUUCGUUAAAAGUGAACAGUACCGGGAGUGUUUUGUUAAAACUCUCUUUUAAAAUUAAUUGACAAUAUAUGGAAUAGCCUAAUUACUUAUAAGCACAUGUAAUGUCUCUUCUUUUCUCAAUGUGAGACUCAUAUACUAUCAACACCACAAACCUCACCUACCUCUCUUCUUUUUCCUCUGGUUCUUUCUUCUUAGCAUAUUUUCCAAGUUUUCAUUAGGCCUGGCUGCGAUAGCGGCAUUGUAGUUUUAGUUUGUGGUUGUAGCGGUGAUCUAUCUCGAUGGCGAAGUCUACCCUGGGAUCGACAGUGGUGACAGCUGCACAUGGCAAUAAGCAAGUACUGUUCCUGGUAUUAGGACUAGGGCCUUCAUUUUGAUGGGCUGAUUUGUUUCGCCCAUAGUUUUACUUUAGGUAUGGUUAGAUAUGUCGUGUUGCAAUUCUUUUGAUUUUUUUUCUUUGUGAAACAAUAGAUUUUGUUAAAUUAAACGUUAAAUUAGCUUCCGACGGAGUUCGAACCCACGCCGUCAUGCAAGGGCUCAACUCAUUUUCAUUACUGUGGUAAAAGGGCACUUGCCAAUUGUUUUGAAGAACCUAUUAUGUUUUCAAGUUACAUAAUUUGAGCGUAUGUGAAAAAUGUUUAUAAAUAUUGUUAUUCGUGAUGAAAAAAUGUCAAAUCACGUGUUUUAGUAAUGAAACAGAUUCAGAAAGAAAUUUCUUAUGAGGUUUCAAUCUCCAAUGUCCAACGUAAAUUAAUAACUUUGUCAAUGACUUAUGUUUAGGGAGCGGAGGACAACUUGUAUGACGCAGGUUCACCAUGGCGUAAGAGUUGUUCUCUUCUCCUUCACCGUCAUUUUGGGCUUCUAAUUUCACAUGCAUCAUGUUUACCUAGUUCAGAUAUAAUAAAGACGAAUUCCCAUAGCUUAUACAGUAAUGGUGCUGCUUUGAUAUAUACUAUUAAAACUUAGUUGUGGAAUCAGAAGUUUGGAGUCAUGAAUUAUAUUUGACUCAAAUCCUCUCCAAAUCACUGGAAAAAAAAAUUAGACGUUAGUUGAAAAACCUCGACGGUACGAGAAAUUUAUUGAGAUGAAAAAAAGAAGUUACACCUAAUCAAGGAGGGACAUAAACCUUAUUCUUCAUAAAGCAAAAAUAACAAAAUACAAGAAAAGAGGGAGGGAUAUACACCUUACCCCUCUUGAACAAGAAAAUACAAGAAAAAGAGAAGGGGAGACAUAGACUUUACCCCUAUUAAAAAAUAAAAUACAAUAAAAAGAGAGGGGCGAACAUAGGACCAAACCCCUCUAAAAUAAAACUUAAAAGGUAAGAACCUGCAAGACAAGCUGCAAAACAAAAAAGAAAAAUCCAAAAGGAUUAGGUAAAAAAGAAAUUUGGUUGAGCCGGUUUAAGCAUUUUCCAACAUAUCAAUAAAAAAAAAGAUCUAACAUUUCAACCGUUUUUAUAUUUCAAAAAAUCUACACUUCUCCCACGUUUCAAUUCUAUCAAAUAAAAACUAACGAAAAGUCCAAAAAAACUUCAUUUUUUAUGAAAAGUCAUGCUUAAAAGUAUAGUGAAUAGUGUCAGGUAAAGGUAAAAAUUUGGUUUUUCGUUAAAAGUGAACAGUUAUUAAAACUCCCAUCUAUCAAAAAAAUAAAUUUAUCGGAACACAAAAAUUUCUUCGAGUAAACCAACUUACAUAUGGUUCGAUCGGUUUAAUGCGCACCCCUAUUUUUUUUUUCCAUGCCCCGGAAAAGGUACGGUCUUAUAGUGCACCGGUUCCUCUUCCUUUGCCACAACAUGCAGAUGCGACCUACUGAUGAUCUUUUCUGCUACAUCUGCAAUGACCAAUGAACUUUCAUUAUUAACUAGUUACCAACUUACCAAUCAUAUAUAGAUGCUAAUCAAACAACGAUUUAUUGUAUGAGAGAGAGAGAGAGAGAGAGAGAGAGAGAGAGAGAGAGAGAGAGAGAGUACUGUGCUUUGGUUUUUCAGAAACAUUGGCAAAGACUAAUUUGGAUGAGAACAAUAGCAAUAGGAUGAUGGAAAUCAUGUAAACAAAGUUGGCCUUGUGAACCAUAUUGUAUGAUCAGCUCGAGAUACAAGUUUGGCUCCGUUCCCAUAUAACUACUUACAUUAUAUAUAAUGCGAUGUCUAAACGUCUUUUACAUAUUUUUUUGUACCAGUUAUUGACCUAGAAUUGGCCAAGUCAAGGGUUUUAUCCCGUGUCAUUUUAUGAGUUUUCCAUGCUCAACUUUAUAAUUUGUUAAAUUUUUAUAUUUCUUUCAAUUUUUUUUUGCUAGCAAUUUUGGAAUUAAUUUUUGUAUAAUCUUUGCUUCUUUUUUUUUUUUACGAACAUUUUGAUGUAAAAAAUUGUUUAUAUUUUUGAGUUUUUUUAUGAAUAGGUGAAAAAUGAACGGAUAGUUAUAGAGUUUUGGAGAAGUUUUGGUGUUGAAUCUAAUUUGGAUCAAUUAGUAAUAUUACUUUGAUUGUUAGAUUUAAAUUUGAGCCGUUGGAUCUUUUUUAUUACCGUUCAAAUUGAUUAAAUUGGAUUGAGUCGUUUGAUUAAAAAAAGAUGCAGCUAGGUGCGCAUCAUUGGAUCAUAAUCCACGAUGUGCGAUAACCAAUGAAUGACAACAACUCGCGCAUCUCAGCCAUAGAAACUGGGCUUGCUAUGAGCCCGCCCGCACUGAAUAUUUCUAUUAUUUUCUUCUGACCAGCGGGCCCGUCACUCCCCCUUCAUGCGCUCUGCAACUUGUUGUCCCCCUCGGCCCACUUGCAUUUCUUAUCCUUUCGGCGUGGAUGCAAGAUCCAAAUAUACAUUCAAACCCAAAUUCCUAUUUUUCCCACCUCCUAAAUACAUGCUUUGGAGAUAAUUUCGACCACAAACUUAGGUUUUAUCCAUAAACGUCCCACUCAAAUUUAUGUGCAAACAACUUGCACUUGCACCACAUAAUUUCGGGAUGCACGGUAGUUGGCUGCUGAAAAAUUAGCAGUUCUUGCUGCUAGCUAAUCAUAGAUGAACAUGUGUUUAAUCUGUGAUUAAAAAAUUAAUUAUGGUCCUUCGAGAUAACAAAACAGUCACAUAAAUAGGGAAACAAGUUGGUGUUACCAAGACUAGUCGAACGAAGACGUGUGAUUUGGAUUUUUUUACAUAUCAAGCACACACCAUUCAUUUUUUGCUGAUAGCUUGAAGGUGGCGUACGCCGUAGGUAACACCUACCAAUUGCAACUUGGAAGUGAGCAACCAGUGGUAAGGAUGUUUUGGUCUGUGGUGGUGAUAUUUGGUAAUUGGUGCUGCCAGCCGACGAGUUCUGUCCAUUUUGUGGGCACAGCUGGAGAUGCCCAAAUGUGGAAUUUUAGUCUUCAGUUCACCAUCAAAAUAAACAACACCAUAAAUUUCAAGAUUGAUAUUUAAUGAUGACAUACAUUUUGAUUCAAAUGCAAAUGCAAAUGCAAAUGCGACCACACACAUAACAGUUACAUUAUUCCGGAUGAAAUGUUUUCGAUGACGUUUACAUAUAAUCAAGCUCUAGUUGAACACUCUUCGGAUUCGAAAAUCAUCUAAACUUGGCUAAUUAGUUUUUUCUGAACAGAACAAAGCAAAGAUGAUACGCAAACGGUCCAAGAAUUACAGUCUUAUGCUUCUAAAUUAUUAAUCACGGUACGAGAGAAAUUUAUUGAGAUGAAAAAAAGAAGUUACACCUAAUCAAGGAGGGACAUAAACCUUAUUCUUCAUAAAGCAAAAAUAACAAAAUACAAGAAAAGAGGGAGGGAUAUACACCUUACCCCUCUUGAACAAGAAAAUACAAGAAAAAGAGAAGGGGGAGA